rnacentral:lncRNA from 1 species
CCUUAUAUUCUCUCCUAGCCAAUCCAGCCUUACCUGUACUGAUCUCAUCAUCCGAGACUGAUGGCCCCUUUCCAUCGGAUCAUGUGCAUCUCAGUCCUCUGAAUUCUCCAUCUUUUCGGACUCUUUCACCUGUGAAUAGUCCCAUUCCUGCUCCACCAUAUCAUACAAGACAUCAGAAGUCUUCAUCCGGUAAGAUUCCUUCACCUAACAUUAGUCCAAUUCCGGUUCCACCUGAUCAUACUCUUUCGAGACAUCAGCAUUCUUCAUCCCAUCAGAGUUCCUCACCUGUCAACGGUCCCAUUCCCGCUCCACUCAAUUCAUCCCCAGUCACAACGUCAACAUUAAGGACGCAGAUCAGAGAUGAUGAGCAGAGGUGUGAUCUUUUCAAAGGGGAAUGGAUACCAAACGAAGAAUCACCAUACUAUAACAACGCGACUUGCUGGGCGAUACAGGAGCACCAGAACUGCAUGAAGUUCGGGAGACCGGACACCGGGUUCAUGAGAUGGAGGUGGAAGCCGGACGGCUGCGACCUCCCCAUCUUUGAUCCUAAUGAGUUUUUAGAAAUGGUUAGAGGCAAAUCCAUGGGGUUUGUUGGUGAUUCCAUUAGCAGAAACCAAGUCCAGUCUCUCUUGUGCCUUCUCUCUAGGGUACAAAAAUCCAAUCUAGUCUUCAAUGAUAACUAACAUCUCUCUCUAAGUGUUGACUUUUUUCAUUUCCUUGUAGGUGGAAUAUCCUGAAGACAUUUCUUCUUCACCAGAUAUAGCUUUCAAAGUAUGGAACUACACAUCCUAUAACUUCAUUCUACAUGUCAUGUGGUCACCGUAUCUAGUGAAGACUACUAAACCUGACCCUACAGACGCCAAGUCCAACUUCUUUAGUCUAUACCUCGACCAGUAUGACACCAAGUGGACGAGUCAGAUCAACCAGCUUGACUACCUGAUUAUAUCAUCAGGCCACUGGUUUUACCGGCCUCUUAUUUUCUACGAAAACGAAAAACUCUCCGGAUGCCAAUACUGUUCGUUACCAAACACAACUGAGUUGCCUUUUCACUAUGGAUACACGAAGGCUUUAAGAACAUCUCUAAGAGCUAUACUCGAGAAUUUCACUGGUUUGGCAAUUUUGAGGAGUUUUUCUCCUCAGCAUUUUGAAGGUGGGCCGUGGAACAAGGGAGGGGACUGUGCAAGGACACAACCAUACAGAAGAAACGAGACGAUACCCGAAGUUUCAGAUCUCAAGAUUCACGACAUUCAACUGGAGGAAUUUAGAGCUGCAGAAGAAGGGAUGAAGAAGAAGAUGGGUUUGAGACUGAGGCUGAUGAACACGACGCAAGCAAUGCUACUUCGACCAGAUGGGCAUCCUGGGAGAUAUGGCCAUCUCCAGACUGAAGAGGUGAGUUCAAGAAAUGAUUGUAUCCAUUGGUGCCUGCCUGGACCGAUUGAUACUUGGAACGAUAUUUUGCUGCAAAUGAUGAAGACAGAAAAAUAAAAACCAUCCCUCAAGAAUAGGUAGAUGAGACUUAUAUCUUAAAUCAACAAAAGAAAUUGCAAAGAAAGAUUUUUGUAGGAGUCUCAGUAUUUGUGUUUGUUAUGUAUUCACUAUUCAUAUGCAAACACGAAAAACCAUUUGCGAACAAUGAUCAUAUAUAUCCCCUACAAAUUUUAUACGGAGUAUUGGGUUCCUACUGAAAAUAAGCUAUCUAACAUAGCUUUUUGGGCUUUCUAUAUGUUGGAGACUUGACAGUUCUGACUGGUGAUAAACUAGUAACAUUGACAACAUGUCAGACUGAAGUAUCACGUGUGAGAACAUGAACAGACAGAGAAGCUUCUUGCUCAGGUUUCAAGUUUUCAUCAUCGUCUUCUAGCUCCUGCAACCCCAUAUUAUAUCAAGCAGUUCCAAAGGACCAACUUUCAAAUUCAAAGUACCAUUUUAUAUCUUAUAACUUACCUUCAACUUUGUAAGAAGAGAAUCUCUGCCUCAUGUCUCUUCUCUUCUAUCUUUAUCUCACAAGAUUGACAUCGCAUUCUCAUAUGCACUAUUCUCUUCUACCAGCGUCUGCUCUCUCAUUUGAGCCUCGUUUCAGAAAGAAGAUCGAUCACUCAAUGAGAGAUAUUCAAUAACUCAUAUCGAUCAAGCUCACCUGUUCACGAGUAGCGGAGUGCGAAUCAAGCUGAAAGAGUGAGGCAGUGGGCAUGAAGGUGAGGCAGACGCGGGGCGAUAUCCGGUGGAAGCAAUCUGAUCCGUAGAUCUUGGAUCGAACGGCUGAAUGUUGUCGCUUUUCGGCCAAGCUCAUCGACGUAUUUCUGGUCUAAUAACACACAAACAAGACUCACGGGGCGAUCGCAGAGCUAAACAGAAGCGGUUGGUGUUUAAACCGGUUCGGUUUGAUUGUGAUAGCUCAUUGGUACGGGUUUGGAUUAAAUUGGGUCUGAAAUAGAAGAGAACGUAACGUGCGAAAUGGCUUCUUUAUCCAUCGACCAUCGUAUGUAUGGGAUAGAUAAUGGGUCUUCACUCUUCAGAAAGAAGGCCUUUGAAAAAGAUAAAUUUAAACGCAAACUUAAGGAAAAUUGGACAAUUAGUGGAUAAACACGUGAAGCAAAACAAGAAAACGUUGAUGUCACAUAAGCUUCUAAUUAUCUGUCCAGACAAAAUUCUACAAAUAAAUAUUCAUAAACUUACCCUAUUAAGAAUUUGUUAAAUACUCUCUCUGUAUCAUUUUAAGAGGUGUUUAAGGUUUUUGCACAAAUAUUAAGAAAAUACAAACUUUUAUGAAAUUAGUUUUGAUAACAUAAAAUAACAUUAAAUAAAACUAAUUCAACCAAUAAGAAAAAGAUGCCGCAUGUUUGUAAUUUGCCAUACAAAUAAACCAAUAAAUGAUUUUCUUAUCCUUUUCUAAUUGGUGCAAUAGGAGCCUACAAAAAUAAUGCAUUGCCGCGUGUUUGUAAUUUGCCUUUGCUUGCAAUCAACCCUCUUCCCCGUUCCUAAGCAAAACAUCAAAUCAGAAAAAUCUCAAGCAUCUGCCAAAACUAUCCACAAAACAAGGAAUUUUGUUAAAUAACCAAUCCAAACAUUGUAAUAUUCGAUCACAUAGUUAAGUAAACAGUUUGAUUCAAAAUACAAACAACAUUCCUACAAAAUGUUGUAAUACUGUAGUGAAAUUCACAUUCGUAAUGUUCCACUUUGAUUCAUUUGGGUAUUGCCUCGAUAUCUUGUUUAGGUUUAGCAUCUAGCAAGUCUCCUGCACGCUCCCAACACCUUAGCUUGUAAACCAUCCUUUUAUUUUAUUUUCAUCUAAGCCAACUAAUCUUAUAAAUUUUUAAAAUAUCCCAUUAUAAAUUUCUUUCUAACCAAACACACCCCACGAGUCAAGACGUGUCAAUUUACCAAAUCCGCAUUUAUCUCUUUCUCCUCUUGACUAAGCAAGAUGUUAAAGAAAGUGAGGCGAAAGGUCAAAGCCUUCGUCACCAAACCCUUUAAAAAGCCUAGCAGACCUUCAAGACCUCCAUCAUCACCAGAGCAACCACCACCACCACCUACUCAUCCUCUUUCUCAACCACCAUCUCCGCCGCCUCAAGAGAUGUCUUCCUCGAGACAAAGGAACGCUCCGUUUCUCUUCCCGAGAUCCGAAUCAUCCGUCUUACCCGACCCGUCUCGUUUCUUCAGCCACGAUCUCCUCUCAACUCCUCUCCCCACAAACUCCUUCUUCCAAAACUUCACUCUCAAAAACGGCGACCAAGCCGAAUACUUUCACCCUUACAUCAUCAAACCAUCUCCUUCAUCUCUCUCCAUCUCGUACCCAUCUCUUUCACACAACUCCGCCUUCAUCUUCGAGGCUUUCAACGCCGACAUCACCGUCUCCGGGUCAGACGGACCCGACCCGCAUUCAAGAAAGACUCAUCUGAUCUCUUCCUUCAGCGAUCUCGGCGUCACUCUCGAUUUCCCUUCCCCUAAUCUCAGAUUCUUCCUCGUCAGAGGAAGCCCCUUCAUCACCUGCUCUGUCUCCGGCACCUCCUCGAUCACAAUCUCAACGAUCCACGCGGUUUUGUCCUUUUCCGGUAACAGCUCGUCCACCAAGUACACCGCCAAGCUCAACAACAACCAGACCUGGCUGAUCUACGCCUCUUCCCCGGUUCACUUAAAUCAAACCGGAGGCUCUUCGAUUAACUGCGGUGCUGGAUUUUCCGGUAUUCUCCGGUUCGCCGUGCUACCUGAUCCAAACCCGGAUUUUGAAUCAAUCCUCGACCGGUUUAGCUGCUGUUACCCAGUCUCCGGCGACGCUGAUCUCACAAAGCCGUUCACUUUGGAGUAUAACUGGGAGAAGAGAGGCUACGGAGACCUCCUGAUGCUCGCUCACCCUCUCCACCUCAAGCUUUUAUCGACCCACGAUUGCUCGAUCGCCGUCCUAGAGAGCUUCCGUUACAGAAGCAUCGACGGAGAUCUUGUAGGCGUCGUCGGAGAUUCGUGGGUUCUGAGACCCGACCCCGUUUCGGUGACGUGGCACUCCAUCAAAGGAGUCGAUGAAGAUCGUCGCGAAGAGAUCAUCUCCGCUCUCGUCAAAGACGUAAACGCCUUGGACUCCUCCGCUCCGGUGACGAGCUCUUCCUACUUCUACGCGAAGCUGAUCGCGAGAGCCGCGAGGUUGGCUCUGAUCGCCGAAGAAGUCUGCUAUUUGGAUGUGAUUCCGGCUAUCAGGAAGUAUCUGAAGAGCAUGAUCGAGCCGUGGCUAGACGGGACUUUCGAGCCGAACGGGUUCCUCUACGAUCCCACGUGGGGAGGCGUGAUCACGAAGCAAGGGUCGAGAGACUCGGGAGCCGAUUUCGGGUUCGGGAUUUACAACGACCACCAUUACCAUCUCGGCUACUUCCUCUACGCGAUUGCUGUGAUGGCCAAGAUCGAUCCUUUGUGGGGGAAGAGGUACGGGCCUCAGGCGUAUGCUCUGAUGGCGGACUUCAUGACGUUGGGGAAGAAGAAGAUGAAGAAAGGAGCGAGCUUUAAUUCUAAUUCGGUUUACCCGCGGUUGAGAUGUUUUGAUCUCUUCAAGCUUCAUUCUUGGGCUGGGGGGUUGACGGAGUUCGCCGACGGGAGGAAUCAGGAGAGCACGAGCGAGGCUGUUAACGCUUAUUACUCCGCUGCUUUGUUGGGGCUGGCUUACGGCGAUACGCAUCUGGUGGCGGCGGCUUCGACGGUUUUGACGUUGGAGAUUCACGCCGCGAGGAUGUGGUGGCAGGUACCGGUUUUAAUCUUAGAUAAAAUCGAAUUGAACCGGAUAAGUUGAUUUUAACCGCUCAAACCGAGAAUGUUUGAUAUGAUAAGUUGAUUAACCAAAUGAAUCCUAUUCGGUUCAGUUUGGUAAGUUAAUAGGUUUAGCUGGGUUAUCUUUGGGUCGAUUGGGUAUAGUAAAACGUAAGUUUCGUUUGGAUGUAUUACCAAAACACAAACCAGUACGGUUCAUGCCACAUUCGGUUUAAUUUUGGUUCUGGCUCUAGUUCGGAUUGAUUUGUAGACUUAUGGUUUAAUUGAUAGAAAUCCAAAUUGAAAUGGUUUAAUUGGGUUUAUCCUUGGUUCGAUUUGGUUUUAAGUAAAACUUAAGUAUCUCGUCUUGGUGGUGGCAGGUGAAAGAAGGCGACACUAUUUACCCGGCAGACUUCACGGCGGAGAAUCGUGUGGUUGGGGUAUUAUGGUCAACGAAGAGAGACAGUGGCUUAUGGUUCGCGCCAAAGGAAUGGAAAGAGUAAAGACAGACAGUGGCUUAUGGUUUGCGCCAAAGGAAUGGAAAGAGUGUCGGCUUGGGAUACAGUUAUUACCGAUACUCCCAGUGUCGGAGAUUCUGUUCUCGGAUGUGAAGUUCGUGAAGCAGCUCGUGAAUUGGACCAUGCCGGCGUUGUCGAGAGAAGGCGUCGGAGAAGGGUGGAAAGGGUUUGUGUAUGCUUUGGAAAGUAUUUAUGACAAAGAUGGAGCGAUGGAGAAGGUUAGAGGAUUAAAUGGGCAUGAUGAUGGGAACUCUCUGAGUAAUCUGUUGUGGUGGAUUCAUAGUAGAGGUGGUGAUGAUGAUGACGACGACGAAGGUGGGUACGGUGGUCAUGGUGGUGGCGGGAAGUAUUGUUCAUUUGGUCAUUAUUGUAAUUAGUUGCUGGCUUUUUGGUUUGUUAAAUAAAGGGACACAAUGUUUAAUAUAUUGGGCUUAAGAUUCUUAAUCAGUCUAUUACUUGUGUUGGGUUUCAAAAUCUUAAACAUUGUGGAUCCACCAAUUUUAUUUGAACCCAUGUCUAGGCCAGGGCAUUCGUUUCGGUUUUGUCCAAUCGGAUGUUGAUUUUUCGGAUUUAUCAAAAUCACCUCCAUUCUGAUUAUAUGAAAGUUUGGUUCAAGACCGAUUCAGGAUAGAAAAUUUUCAAAAACCGGUACAACAUGAUGUAUUUUCAGGUUUGGGUCUCAAUUCAUUUUUUUGGUUUAAAUCUACCAUAUUUGUAUCUACUUUGUAAUCAAAACAUAAGUAAAAUCGAUUCUUCGGUUUAAAAUACCUGAUUUAUAUAUAUUUUGUAACCAAAAUAUAAAUAAAAUCGAUUCAAAAAUAAGAAACGAACAUCAACCGUGAUCAUUCAAAAUCAAACGAAAGGUAAACAUAGUUAUGGAUAGAAUGAAAACCGAAUAAAUGAAAGCAUAAAACGAAAACUAAAUUUUCAUGAAAUGAAAAAUAUUAUUCAACAAAAACAAAACCAAAAUCUUAAAACUUCAAGUUUUAACCGCCAUUUUCAACCACCAACCUUCAUGUAAUAGAUAAUUAUUUUAGAUGUAAUAUAUUUUGGAUAUAUAUUAUGAAUUGAGAUCAUGUUUGGUACAAGUUCUUCUUUGGAAUUUUGAAUGUUUCUGGUUUUAUCGGAUAUCCAUUUAGGUUCGGUUCAGAUAAUACUUAUAACCCGAAAUACGAUAAAACAAGAUCCAUUCAGUAUUAAUGUUGGAUCAGUUCAGAUUCUUUUUUAUCGGAUAGGAUUCGGUUCAGGUUGUGGGGUUAGGAAUUUACUUCCCCAAAUUUGAAAUCUACUAAAGCUAAGAUUGAUAAGAUCGAGUUAUAUUAUAUUCUCAAAAGGGUGACAAGAGAUCAGCAGUGACAAAACUCAUCCGUUUUGUCAAAGAAUAAUGAUGGUGAUCAUAUGCAAAUUGGGUUUGUAUAAACGUUACAUACAAAUAGGUGAUGUUGAUAUCAUUAUUCCGUAUACACGUUUGGACCGACCAUUUGCUGCAACAUGUGGUUCAUGUUCUUCUUAUCUUUAGGCUCUAAUCGACUUGCCAGGUUCCAAUUGGCUCCUCGGAUCUCCACCGUUUGCCACAUCCGCUUGACCGACUUGAUAUGCAAGCAAACAAAAUCAGGACAUUGCCAUGUUAUCGUUUACAACAUCACUAAAGAAGACAACAUCAUACGACGAUAACAAAUUAUUAAGAGACAUCACUUUCUUAACAAUGCUAAACACUUUCCUUUAAUAGAAACACGGAAACUUUAUUUUAAAACAUUCCGAAAAGAUGCCAGCUGCAAUCACCUAUGGAACCAUGAUCGUAAUGCGACGCCUCUGGGAAUCAUGGACAGUUAAAACAUAAUUAAGUCAAGAAUCAAGAUAAAACAGUCAAUGGCUGAUGGCCAAAGCCCAAGUUUCCAGCUUUACCAAAAUAGUAAUAUACAAUACGAUCCAUCACGUGCCAUAACCUACGCAACAUGUUAAUGGGUCAUAUAGGGAGAGAGUAGUAAACUCUUGGUGUAGCUUUCUUCUCCAGUGUUGAUAAGAUAUAACAUAUAAGGAGACUAGUAGUUUUUUCAACUUUUUCCUCAGAGAGUUGAUGAUUCCAAAAGCCAAUGUCAGCAUCUGUGGACUGGACCCUAUACACAGAAACACAGCCAGCCACAAGAUAAUCACACAACUUUUCAAGACCACUAACUUCUCGCCAAGUGUCAGCCCCUCCAAGAUUCUAUCCUUCCCUUUUGCCUUCUUAGUCCCUUGCCUCCAUUUACAAUCUUCCCUCACCAACAACAAACUAGUUCCAUCUGAGUUAAAACAUGUUGAAACAAGAGAGUAACUGGGCACAAACCUGUGACACAUGCCGAUCAGCCGCAUGCACUGUCUACUGCCGAGCUGAUUCUGCCUACUUAUGCACAAACUGUGAUGCUCAAGUUCAUGCAGCCAAUCGGCUCGCUUCCCGCCACGAACGUGUUAGAGUCUGUCAAUCAUGUGAGCGAGCCCCGGCUGCCUUCUUCUGCAAGGCAGAUGCUGCUUCUCUAUGCACAGCCUGUGAUUCACAGAUUCAUUCCGCAAACCCACUUGCUAGACGCCACCAACGUGUUCCGAUUCUGCCAAUCUCUGGUUCCAUGGUCACUAACCAUUCGAGUGAGACGACAGAGACAGAGGACAUAGUGGUGGUGGGACAAGAAGAAGAAGAUGAAGCAGAAGCGGCUUCUUGGUUGUUGCAUAGUUCAGUUAAAAACAGUGGUGACAACAACAACAACAACAACAACAGUGAGAAUAGGUUCUCGGUUGGUGACGAGUAUGUGGACCUUGUCGAUUACAAUAAGUAUCAACAAGACUACAACGUACCUCAGAGGAGCUAUGUGGCAGAUGGGGUUGUUCCACUUCAAGUUGGAGUAUUAAAGAGUCACAUGCACCACGAGGAACACAACUUUCAGUUUGGUUUCACUAAUGUCUCCUCAGAAGCUUCCCCAAUUCAUAUGGUUAGUCUUGUGCCAGAGUCAACACUGAGUGAGACAACAGUAUCACACCCAAGAUCGCCCAAAGUGGCAACGGAGGAGCUACAUGACGCUCCAGUUCAGAUGCUGAGUCCAGUAGAGAGAAAGGCUAGGGUCAUGAGGUAUAGAGAGAAGAAGAAGACAAGGAAGUUUGAGAAGAGGAUAAGGUAUGCUUCAAGGAAAGAGUAUGCAGAGAAAAGACCAAGGAUCAAAGGCCGGUUUGCAAAGAGGAAUGAAGUUGAUGCAGAGGAGGCAGACAAAGCUUUCUCCUCAAUGGUCAUGUUUGACACAGGAUAUGGAAUUGUUCCUUCAUUCUGAUAAUACUCCUAUGGUUCAACUAGAUUCCAUGCUUGUAAAUGCAUUACUGGAAGUUAUGACCACUGUAAUGCAUAUAGGUCUCUAUUUUUGUCUAACUAGUACCAAUUAAUUAGAUAUAUUUAUAUUUUGCUGUUGUAUUUAAAACAGAAUUUUCACACAGUUACUAUCCUUCAAUCUAAGUUCACACCGAUAUGUGCGUUACUUUAGCUAGAUGUACCAAGAACAGUUAACAAUGAACUCACCUUGCAAAAAGGUUCAGACAAGUAGUGAUUGCUUUCUUGGUGACACUUCCACACCACUUUGAUAAACAAGUAGAAGAUAAAUGAUUCCACUUGUGUCUCCCUGAGAAAAUAAGGUUUUACACAAAUAUGAUUUUCCAAACAAUUACAUAGUUUAACUUUAGACAUACAACUUGGAAAAUUCAAUUUUAAAAAAAAAAGACAUCAUAACAUCACACAUUGAAUAGUCAUUUCCUGUAACAUACUUAGAAAAGUGGCAGUCAGAUCGCAAACAACCAAGAACCCGGAGUGAACAAAUGCUACUCUGUAAAAUUACAUCAAAAACAUAUUCUUGUUUCUGGUAAGCAUUGGAGAGCAUGGUUGUGUAACCAAACCCAUGCAUUCCCACCUGGCUCUCUCUGAUAAACAAGAAUCUAAACACCUUUAAUUUGUCCCAUCCAGUAUAUUAACACUCAUAAGUAACAAGCAACCACUGGCAGAAUAUGUCAAUGCCUAUGUUUAGUUACAUGCUCUAAAUCUAUUAGAAUAAAGGGCUAUAGUGUGUCACCUUUCCAAGGAAUAUAAUAGCAUUAAAGAAUAAGGAAGCAAAGAAAAAUAGAAGUGACACUGUAACUAAGCCUUCACUCUUUUUGCCCCACUGUAACUAAGCCCUCACCACUUUCCAUGGGUUAAGCUGAUGAAUUCCUGCACCAACCAAAAGAUUCGUUUUGGCCAUCACUGAGUGAGUGUUGAUAUCCAUAUGAAUUUAGCCACUAGAUUGAGUGUAAAAUAUAUAUGUUCUCUUUGGACCACAUAAAUGAAUCUCAUUCACCCACUGAAACCAGAAGUGUGACAACCCGCUACCACUGCAUUCAAAACCCAUCAGAAAAUCUAGUCUGUGAUCUGGUUUGAUCAUGUAGGCUGUAGCACAAACUUAUAAACCACUCAAGAAAAUGGACGAUAUCUCUGGUUACAUAUGAUAUUAGCAUAUCAUUAUCAACAAGGAAGCUAGUAGAGAGUUGAUCUAGAUAUCUUUCCAGGAAAUUUAAAGAUAUGCAAUAACAAUUUUAGGCUAAAUCCUAACGAGUGUAAAGAGCCAAUUGAAUGUUAACAUUUAGUUUUCUCUAGAUUUCUUUUCAGGAAAAUGAAGAUGCAAUAACAAUUAGUUUAAGUAUACUAGCAAAUGUAAGACCCACUUGAAUGCUAAUAUUUAGUGAUGGAUUCGAAACACGUGAAAGUGCAUAAAAGUGAUUACCUUUUGCCAAAGGUCUCUGCACUUUUGCACUUUUCCUCAGAUAGUUUUCUUACAGCCAUAUAAAGUGGAGAAUCCUACAUAGCUUACAAUUGCAAGCUUUGUAUGGUGGUCCCUGGACUCUAAGAUUCUAGGUUCUCUUAUCAGUCUUUUCAAGAAAAGAAGGUUUUCUAUUUAAAUCUGAAAGCUGAAAAAAAAUAAUGAAACAAAUAAGUGACAUAGUUUUUUCCCCUUAAUAUCUCUAAAACUGAGUCUAAUUGGCAUAAAAUUGAAUUUUCCUUCACAUAAUUCCAAUGCAACUUCCAUGUAAGGUGGAGCUCUACACUUGUGAAUGAAGUUCCAAACCACAGAUAGGCAAAGAGAAAUAAUAAGCAAAACUAUAUUUCUUGAACUACAAGUGAUAAAGGGCCAAUACACAACUCUCUUCAUGAGCUAGAACCACUAUAAAAUCCCCACUUUUUCAUAUCAUUAAUGUAAUGAACCUAGAAUUCUUCUCCUUCAUAAGAUUUCUCCGUUACAUUCAUCAAAAAACCAGUAAAUAACAAGAACAUUUUGAGAGUUUAAAGUCGUCCCUUACUAGAAAAAAAUAGUGUAAAUAAAUGAAAGAGGAAGAGAUGCGAAAAGUGUAUACUAGGACCAGCCUUUUUAUACAAGCAAGCUCACUUUUCAGCUGUAGACUCAUAGAGUUGAAGGAAGCCACAUGAAUUUGGCCACUAGGGUUUUCUAACCUUUGGACCACAUAAAUGAGUAUCAUUAGUACAUCCACUGAACCCAAAAGUGUCCUCAAACUCUAGAGAGUAUCAUAUUCAUAUACUGUAGCUUUCCACUUAGUAAACAUUAUUAACAUAUCACCAACAAGGCAGCUCAAAGCACUGGUGGUUACUAGUACAAAAGCAAACCCAAGAUGAUGGAUAUACCGUACACGAACUGUCAUCAGAUAGUUUGCAGCUGCUAACCAAGAAAUAGUAAACAAAGGUGCUUUUAAAUAUGCAUCUACUGAUCCUAUGGAGUAAACGAGAGCAUAGCUCAAAACGCUACUUUUCUCUGUGAUCCUAUAAAGACAAGUCAUGAAACUUCCCAUCUCUGGCCUGAGACAUAACAGUAUAAAAUUAAGCUAAUAUGGAAACAUAUAUACAGCUGCAGAAAACAAUAUAUUCAUCAUAUCUUCUAUAUUAUUAAAAGAGAAGUACCCAUUUGAAAAUGUUCUUACUUCGUUAAUUAAACUCCUUUUUUUUUUGCUUGUCUUUUUUUAGUUGCAUUUAUUAAAUAUCAUAAAACGAAUAAAACUGUCUAAUUUAUUACUUGUCUUUUCAGUUACAUUAAUGAAAUAUGCUUAAAUGAAUUUAAACUUCAUAUUUUAUUGUUUGUCUUUUUCAGUUACCUUAAUGAAAUAUCCUUAAAUAAAUUUGGACAUAAAGUCAUUUAAUCAACCAAAAAAACUCAUGAGUUAUCCUUACGUGCAAUAAUUUUAAUAAUUGAGAUUUUUAAAAACGUGCAUCAUUAAAAUGUUACCUAAAACAUGCAGCACUAAUAUAUAAUAUGCAUCAAUAAAACUAGAAUUUGACUCACACAAUUGUACGGAUAUUAUUUUCAGUUGAUUAAAUUUAAAAAUAAUUAUUUAUUCAAAAAAUAUUUAAGAAUGACUAUGUUUUUAAAAAUUAUAUGGUAUUAUUUGCUCAUAACUCAUUUGUCAUUUGAUAAAUUGUUAGAAAAUGUUUUUUAGCAUAAUAUAACUCAGUUGUCAUUUGCUAAAUUUAUGGUUUUUAUUUAUAUUUUUUAUUAUUUAAUUAUAAUAUUUUCAUUUUACAUAUGAAAGAUAAAUAAAUUUUCUUUCAAACAAUAUUUUUGUAAAUGUAUUUUUAAAAAAAUAAUCAAUUAAAAUUGUUAUUAUCAUUGAAUAUCAUUAUUUUUGACAUAAUUUGAGUUUUCGUUUACAUCAAAACUUAUCAUAUUUUAGGAUAAUUUUAAUUUAAAAUGUAAUUUUCAUAUUUUUCAAACAAAUUCUAAAAAUAUUUUUUAAAUAUUUUGUUAUAAUUGUUAAAAAAAUAUUGAGUUGCAUUUCAAAUAAAAAGGUAAAGAUAUUAAAAAUAUUCUAAUUAAAAUAUAUAAAAUUUAAUAUAGUUUUAAGAAAAUGGUCAAAAUAAAAAAAAUUACACAUAAAAUAAUCAUGAUUUUUGUUAACUGGGCGGAUCAUUAUUUAUAUGAUAUCGCACACGAAAGAAAAAUUUUUGUUUUUAAAAUUAUCUAAUUAACUCUAUACUCAUUUUUUUAUAUUUUUUAUAUGAUAUCACACAUUCGUAAAAAAAUAGAUAGUUUAAGAUGCAAAAAAAAAUAUUUACUUAAUGAAUAUAAUAUGAACGAAUAUUACAAAUACAUCAUUUAAUAAAAUAAAUAAUUAAAAACUGAAAAUUCAUAUCCGCGCUGGCCCGCAGAUCAGGGUCUAGUAUAUAUUAAAACAGAAGUUAUGACAUUGAUUCAUGUAUGAUUUUUAAAAAAAUGGAUCUAUUCCUAAAUAGUUAUGUUGCAUUUAAUCUCUAAUCUUAUCAUUUAAAUUUUGGACCUACCAGAAAUUUUUAUUGGGCUAUCAAUAAUUGAAUUUAAACUAGAUUUAUAGAUAGUAUAAAUUAAAUAUAUAUAAUUUAAUAUUGUAAUAUUAUAUCUCCAUAUGUUAAAUAUUUAAAUAUUUGCCGAUGUUAGCUUUUAAAGUUAUAAAGAUUUUUUUUAAAAUAACAAAAAUCAUAUUAUCUAACAAUGAUUAAUUUUUACUACCUUAAACCAAUGAAAAAAAAAUUUAAACUAUAUAGUUUAUUUUAAAAAUUAAACAAAAACCAAAUGUUUAAUUUUUUAAAAACUUUCUAAAUUUGUGAAAUAUUACAAUAUCUUUGAAUAUGACAAUAAACCAAUAUUUUAAUAAUCUUUAUAUAUAUAGUUACGAUUUUAAUAAUGAAAUAAUAAUCCGAAAAUAUAUAUAUAGAAGAAAAUACAAAUACAUGUGAAAGUUUGAAACAAUCUAUUCAAUGAAGAAAAUAUACCGUAAACUUAUUAUGCUUUAAAAAUUGAUAGACACAUAUAUAUUAUAAUAUAUACCAAUUUAGAAUUGAAAACAAAAUAAUUAUAUAAAAUAAAUGAAAACAAAAAUCCGCGCGAGUCGAAAUCUAGUUGUCAAAUUGUUACGGAGACAUUUGACACACCCAUUAGUCAUUAUUUAUUACCAUGAAGGCCAUGAAGGUGAUUUAAGUUCAAAAUUUCUACAUUAAAUAUAAACAUGUGAUAUACUAACACUAACCUUGCUCCUUUGGACUCCUAAUUUCCCUACAACUUGUGGCCCAGGCAACAGUUGGUGAUGCCUAUGAGACAUGAAACCUUACUCGGAGAUAUACCUGGACAGUUAUCUAUGUUGCACCGGGACGGAUACGGGGACAGAUACGGGUACGGAAGCGGGGACGGGAAACGGAAAAACUAAAAAAUUAUGGCUACGGGUACAACAAAUAUAUAUAUGUUAAAAAUAUAUAUAUGCUAUCCAUAAUGGACAAAAUAAGAAAAGAUUACACCAAAAUCUUAACAUAAAAAAUAAUUCAAUAUAUUAUUUGAAAUAAUAAUUAUUAAAACAAUAAUUAAACCUUUUUUAUAAUCAAAAUUUGGUUUAUUUAAUAAAAGUUCAUAAACUUAGAAACAAGAUUGAAAGUUAAAAAUACAGUUAAAAUUUUACUUACUUUUAUUUUUUGGAAAAAGGUAAAUGAAUUAGCUUAAGAUACAAAUAAUAUUGAAGAAAAUUCAUUUCAAAUAUUCCAUAAAUGAACUACUACAUCCCCGAAGUGUCCCCGUGCUUUUUCUAUGGUGUUUCCGUCCCGGAAACGUUUCCGGUACGGGUACGGGUACGUGAACCAAACUGCCGUCCCGGUGCUUCAUAGACAGUUAUCACACGGUUCAAGAAGAAUAUUCAACUAUGUAAACUUUUCCUGGAGCCACAUAGAUAGAGUACCUACCUAGCUUUACUAUAAAUAAAUCCAAGUGAAAAUAGUAAAAGGUGACGAAUAUAGUAACACCACAUGGUGUUUUUAUCCUCUUGAGCAUCUCUCAGUGGCAAGUAGCUGAAAAUCUAUAAUAAGAAAUGUGUGAACAGUUCCCAAAUUAUAGCUCUUUGCCACGUGUAAGCAACUGAGGAUUCGGAUUCCCUCACAACAAGAUAAAGCUUUAUUAGCCCCUUCUCUCAGACGCAAUCUCACCCACCACCAAACUAACUACAUCAGUGAGCAAAAUAUGUUCAAACAAGAGAGUAACAACAUUUGUAAUAGAGAGAACAACAGAGGGGCACGAGCCUGUGACACAUGCGGGUCAACCAUCUGCACCGUGUACUGCCAUGCUGACUCUGCCUACUUAUGCAAUAGCUGCGAUGCUCAAGUCCACUCUGCCAAUCGCGUUGCUUCCCGCCAUAAACGUGUCCGGGUCUGCGAGUCAUGUGAGCGUGCCCCUGCUGCUUUUAUGUGUGAGGCAGAUGAUGUGUCUCUAUGCACAGCCUGUGAUUUAGAGGUUCACUCCGCAAACCCUCUUGCUAGACGCCAUCAGCGAGUUCCAGUUGUGCCGAUAAUUGGAAACUCUUGCAGCUCCUUGGCCACCGCUAACCACACAACAGUGACCGAGCCAGAGAAGAGAGUGGUGUUAGUUCAAGAGGAUGCCAAAGAGACGGCUUCAUGGUUGUUCCCUAAAAACAGUGACUAUCACAACAACAACAACAACCAGAACAAUGAGUUGUUGUUUAGUGAUGACUACCUAGACCUUGCUGAUUACAACUCCAGUAUGGACUACAAGUUCACCAGUCAAUACAAUCAACCUCGACAUAAACAAGACUGCAUCGUACCAGAGAAAAACUACAGUGGAGAUAGAGUUGUUCCGCUCCAACUUGAAGAAACAAGAGGAAACUUGCGGAACAAGCAACAGAAUAUCACAUAUGGCUCCUCAGGAAGCCAAUACAACAACAACGGUUCCAUUAACCAUAACGUAAGGCUUUUGAAUAUUUGCUUCUUUUUCAUCAUACACACAAAUCACAUAUUAGCUACCAAGAAUUAAUCUGUAAGUACCAGACGUUUAUAAUAAUUAAAAAAAAAUUUGCAUCUCUUUAGUCCUCUCUUACCAAGGGGAUUGAGAAUUGUCUUGGUUUUUUUCUGUAAUUAGGCAUACAAUCCAUCAAUGGAAACUGACUUUGUGCCGGAGCAGACAGCACCUGACACAACAGUUUCACAUCCAAAAACGCACAAAGGGAAGACAGCACAACUACCUGAACCUCUAAUUCAGAUUCUCAGUCCAAUGGACAGAGAAGCUAGAGUCCUGAGAUACAGAGAGAAGAAGAAGAGAAGAAAGUUUGAGAAGACAAUAAGGUAUGCUUCAAGGAAGGCAUAUGCAGAGAGAAGACCGAGGAUAAAUGGACGGUUUGCAAAGAUGAGUGAAACCGAAGUAGAGGACCAAGAGUACAACACAAUGCUAAUGUACUGCGACACAGGAUAUGGCAUUGUUCCUUCAUUCUAUGGCCAAAAAUAAAGAUUACUAGAUUGCUAAGCUGUAAAUAAAUGUCCAGUUUAAGAUUAUGUAAGGUUUGGUGCAAUUCCUGGUUUCAAGAAUGAUUACUUAUGCUGCUAUGUACAAGGGUGUGUAGUUUUGGUGCUAGCUAUUGCUAAUAGUAGUAUACUUGUUCCUUUGCAUUAGUUAAACACAAGCUGUCUACUCCACAAUUAGUUAAACACAAGUCCAUAAACCAACGUGAACAAUGCUGAUUGUGAAUGAUUUAAUGCCUAUGUGUAUGUAUGGGCCAUCCGCAUAAACAUUAGAGAUAAUAAAGAGCAAUAUAUGCUUGCUCACUUUACCAAUGUAUAUGCUGAUAAAAAGAAUGACAAGUGGACAACAAAAAGAUAAUAAAGAGAAGUGACAUUGUUACUAAAUGAUGCCCUUUUUGCCAUCUGGAAUAUGCCAUAGAGCUACGCGUCUACGGUUCAUUUACAAUUCCAUGAUUAAGCUGGUGAAGUCUUUCAUGUACCAAACAUUACGUACAAUCGAAAGAUUCGGCUCUACGCAUGCAUAUAUAUGUUUUCAGCCAAAGGUCUACUAAGCUACGCAUCACAUGAAUUGUUACUUGACAUAGUCAUAUUCCUAGCGUCUAGUUAUAGAACCAAUCAAUCACCAUAUUUGUUCUCUUCUUCGAGAACUUUAAGAAGAUAUAACAACCAAGUGAAAAAAAGUGCAUAAAGUGAAAGAAAAGCUUGCUGCACUUUGCACUUUUUUAAAAAUAUCUAAAGAUAUUUCAGAUCGUUUCUCACAGCCAGUGAGUCACAGCCAUGGAAAUUAAAAACCAGCUCCCAAACUUACAAUCACAAGCUUUUUACAUGGUCCCUUGACCCUCUUAGAUUCUCACUCUUUUUGCUAGAACAAGAAAAAAAAAUGCUAACAUAGAUAAUUGAUAGUGUACCUUUAUCAUAAUCUUAUCUUGAUUUCCUCCACAUAAUCCAGGGGAAAAUAACUUACGUGUACAUGUAAGAGGAGUUCCUCAGUAACUAUUCUGAGGAACAUAUAAGCCUAGAUCUCAGUUACCAUGGUAAACCUACUUUGUAUUGUAGCACUUGUAUCAGAAAAUCAGUAAAAUAGCAAAAAGAUUCCAACAAGAUGUCAAGAAAUACGAAAAAUACAUCCUAGUAUAUCAUCCAGCCUUUAUGGACAAGUAACAUAUCCCAAAGAUAAGUACCAGCAGUUUCAACUUUCAAGUAACUACUGGUUAGGAGACGAGUUACAGAAAAAAAUUCCAAUCUAAUAAGUUUAACAACUCAAGUACGCCUACUGUAAUUCUAUUUACAAUCGAGUUGUCCAUGGAAAGAUCAUCAACUUGGCAUAUUUGUUGUGAUGACUGAUAGGGUUGAGAAUUACCAGAAGCAUUAUUGUGACUUUGCGAGUGAGAGAAGCCUAACUUUAAUGGGCCUACUAAGCCAAUGUAUAUACGAAGCUCUUUAAAACCCAUUAAUAAAGCCGCAGAUCAUUUAAACAAUGCAUUGCCGGUGGGAGCACUCCUCGCCACCAGAGGAAUCCAUUCUGAGUUGACUUGCAAAAGGUGUGGAGAGCUGGAAACCAUCACCCAUCUCUUCUUUGAUUGCCCUUUUGCGGUAGAAGUCUGGGCCAAAGCCCCCCUCGUAACACCUGUUGACAGAGUGUCUGAAGCUGAAACGUUUAGAGAUUGGCUGUCAACAAAUGUUUCGAAAGGUUCCCUCCCUCCUGCAGGAGUAACGGCCUCCCUGCUCACGACAUGGCUCUUGUGGAAUCUCUGGAUUGCAAGAAAUAAAUUGAUCUUUGAAAACAAAUGUUUCCAAGUUGAAGAUGUUAUCUCCAAGGCGGUGACAGAUGCAAGGGAAUAGGAGGGGGCUAAUGCCAAGAAAAGUAAGAAGAAGGGCAGAAAGCGCCAUUAAGCAAACGUCUCCCCUCAGUCCCUUCUUGUUGGAUCGAUGGUGCUUGGCAGGAAACCUCAAAAGCAGGAGGAAUGGGCUGGAUCAUCAAGACUGCAGCAGGGGAAGUGCUCUGCAGGGGCUCCUCAAAUCGCUCACACGUGUGCUCUGCUUUGAUGGCGGAAGCGUUGGCUUUGCGUGAAGCUCUAAAGAAGGCGCAAGAGUUAAAUCUUCAAAGCCUCCAAGUGUUCUCGGACUCCCAGGUCCUUAUUUCGAUCCUUGAUGCAGGGGUGGAUUUGAAUGAGAUUGCAGGUGUCCUCCAGGAUGUCAAAAGCCUUGCCACUCUCUUCUGUCCGUUGUCGGUUGUUUUUAUUCCUCGUGUAGAAAACUCUCAGGCUGAUACUCUAGCUAAAUCAAGCCUUUCUAGAUUGUUAAAUGUUGUUUGAACUGGUUCGAUUUGAUUUAAUGCAAGUGGUUUGACAAAAAAAAAAAGCCGCGGAUCAUCAAGAAGUCCUAAAGUGGCAACAUCAAACAUGUUUUCAAACUUUGGUACAUUUUGAGAGUUGCUGGCUCCUGAUGGAUCAGACAGUUAUAUCUUUAAUUACUGGUUUCUUGUAGAGAGACCGGUUUGUCGAUUUUGUCGGUUUCCUCGAUCGAUGGUAGAUUGUUUUUUAUUUAUGUUUAAUAAGUCAGUGGUCACUAUUAGGCUAUCAUAGGUUUGGUGAAAAUUGAUAUUUUCGAGACGGAUCUUCAAAAAUUGAAUUCUUUUCGAGCCGGUAUUGUGGAUAAAAAAAUAACCAAGCAGUUUCAAGAGAUCGUGCCAUCUUUGAAGCCUCAUUCGCAGUGCCGUGCGAAGGGUUUUAGGGACCUAAGGCAAGUUUUAAAAAUAAACUUAUAUACAACUAUAAUGAAAAUAAAAAUAAACUUAUAUGCAAUCCAUGAGAAGCUGUCUACUAGAGAAAGGGUUAGAAGUUGGAACCAAAAUGCUGAUGUUUCUUGUGGGUUUUGUCAAGAACCUUUGGAGACAAGGAAGCAUUUGUUUUUUGAGUGUCCAUACUCUUUACAGAUUUGGGAAACGCUUGCAAGAGGUGUGAUGGGUGAUCUAUAUACGAUGGAAUGGGAGAACAUUCUCAAACUCACAUCACAAGCUUCAAGCUGGAGCAAGCUUGCUCUCUUUAUAACAAGACAUGUGUUUCAAUCAGCAGUCCACGCCAUAUGGAGAGAAAGAAACAGAAGAAGGCACGGAGAAGAUCCAGCACCAAGCAUGCUUCUAAUUAAAAGAAUUGACAAGGAGAUGAGGAAUAGAUUCACUAUAAUUAGGCAGAAAGGAGAUAUGGAGUAUGAAGGAGGAAUGGCCUUAUGGUUUAGUACAAGAUAGAGUUUUUGGAGUUUUCAUAUUAUUAUAAAAUUGUAGUAGUUAAAGUUUGGAGAAGAUAGAAGAAACUCUAAAAUAGGUAACACAUGAUGUAACAAAGUAUUUUUCUUUUGAAUUCAAUUUAACAUUCAAUUAAAAAAAAAACUAUAAUGAAAAUAAUUUUUUUUAUACGAUAUAUCACAUUCGCCAAAAACACAAAUUUAACACUUACAAGAAUAAGUUUAUUAUAUAAAUAUGCUAUAUUAUGUCAUAUAAGAAAAAAAUACAUGGAUUAAGAAAGUGAGUUAAUCGAUUCUUGUGGAAAUUGUUUUUUAGAAAAUAAGUUCAACAACUAGAUUAGAAAUUAUUUUAAAUUUUGGGACCCUAAAAAAAGUAAUAUUAUUUGGGAGCCUAAAGCAAAUGUCUUUUUCAAUACACUUUAGGAACCCCUGCUCAUUCGUUCAUGCUCGAGAUGUUAUCUUGUACCUGGCGCAUUACACUCACUUGCAAAAUAGAGUGGAAGCAAUAAGGUACUACUCAUUCAGAUCCAAUAUUGGUUGUUGGAAUAUACAUUGCUGAGGAAAAUCAAGUGGACAUGAGAAUCGCAACUACUGUUACCAGAGAACACAAACCACAGUCAUACGUAACCGGUUAUAGCCACCCCUGUCUGUAACAACUACUCACUGAAGAUGUUUUUCAGUAAUGUUUUAAUGGCUCGAGAACUCGUGAAAUUUAGUUUAUUGAUUAGUAUUAUCUCAAUCUUUGGCGAAUUAUAUCUAUAUGCUCUUUUGAGCUUAUUAUGUCAUUUAUUGGUAAUUUUAUUUUGGUUUAUUUCUGUUUUUAUAAAAAAAAAAGUUGUAUGAAUUUUGCUUUUUUAUGGCUUCAUACUAAAAAUGUUAAAAAUAUACUUUGGUACGUAGUUAAACCGUAGAAAAAUAGUGUUGGAAACGGUGCUAGACCUAAGUCUGGCCCAGAGAAAAGAUACAUAAAAAUCCGCUUUUGCUUACGGCUCAAAAGAUAUAUAUGGGCCGUAAUUUGACGGAUACCAAACAAAGAAAACAGAUAUCGACUAGAGGCAGAAUUUAAAAAGUUGGAUCAUAAUAAACAACUCAUGAUGGCUGAUGAGUUCCAUCUGUAAUAGAAGAGAAGUCAUGAUCCAAGGAAGCAGAAGAGUAUCUGCCAUUGAUGCUUCUGCUUCCUCCUGCUCCUAUAACCUUCUUCAUGGAUGUGAUAACUUGAUGAAGCGCCAAGUUUUUCUCUUUAAGACUCGAGUUCUCUUGAAGAACAAGAUCAUUGCUAUUCGAGGCUUGGUUAAGCUUUUCUAAAAGCUGCUGGUUCUCGCUUCUAAGCCAAGCAACCUGCGAGAGAAGCUCAUCUAAGUGUCUUUGCUUUCUCAUUCUUGACCUUCUUGCUGAUUCUCUGUUAGAUACCAUACGUCUUUGCUUUCUCUCGUUGAUGACGAAUAUAUCUUCAGUUGCUUCAUCUGACGUGGUAGAGUUGUUGCUUGCAGGAGAUUGUAGAUUAAGUUCUUGAAAUUGAGGGUAUGGGAAAAUAUUGAGAUUGUUGUUGGAAGGGUUUAAGUUGUUGUAGUAAUGGUUUAAGUGGAAGUAGUCUUGCUGUUGCAUGUUGUUAAGACUUGAGCUAUCAUAAUUUGGCUGCAUGGUCAAUUUCUCUCUCUAGAGCUCAAAGAGGGUGAGAUAAUGGUGGAGGUUGGAUGACAAGGGGGUGUUUAUACAGCUGAGAAAGCCAUAAAAGUGGACCAAACUUUUUUGCAAAUUGGUGGCUUUAUAUAUGUCUUCUAUAUGACCCAUUGGCAUGUUUUUGUUUUCCUUAAAAUUAUUGAGAAGCUAGUUAGUUAUCUUUCAAAAGAAAAUAUAAUAGGUCGCCAUAUAAAUCUACAAAUACUUUUUUAUUUUUUGAUUGUUUAAAAUGACUAAUUUGGUUGUCCCUUUGGGAUAUUGUAUCGGUUGAUGGCUCGAUGGAUGAGACUGAUACUAGAGAAAGUAUUCCUUAUACUGAUACAAACAUAACCAUUACACGCAUGCAUUCAGGGUGUCAUAAUUUAUCAACACACAUAAGCAUAACUUUGGAUGUGUUUAUGAUACAAGGAUGUGGAUGUGGUACAUCGAUCAUGCUAGGAUUAGUUAUUUAGUUUAACAACCAAAUGGCAAGUUGUUUCCGGUGCAUGUAAGUAUAUGAGAGAGUACCAUGGCCAUCUAGUGGAUCAUGAUUUUCAUCCAUGAUUGACAUUUGAAGACUGGGGUAUAAUAUGUAUAUUGUGGAUAAAUCAAGUUCUGGAUCAGUGUUAUGUGCUUACAUCAGAGAGAGAAAAUGUAGUUUCUAGUUGUGGGGUUUCAAAAUUAUUUAAGUUUAGAAUCAGUUAAUGCUUUUGUUAGCCAACAUAUAAAGUAGUGAUGAUAAGUCAAUUUAUAAAGCUUAUAAUAUUUAUUUGGUUCUAAUAUCUUCAUAACUCACCAAUUGCUCUUCUAUUUCUAUAGAAAAAUAAGAAGAUAAUCUCUUGGACCUUUGAGAUUUGCUUCUCUUCUCUGAUUAACAUCAUUAUAACAUCAUUAUUAUGGUUUAUGCGUAGACUUUUUGAGGUCCUAGAUAAAAUAUAAAAAACUUGGGGUGUUUUCUAUUAUAAAUAUCACACAGAAAGUAAAAUCUAAAUUAUCAAAUUAAAGACUGGAAGUGGAUAGUUUAACCUUCUUUUGGAAAUAUAAUAAUUAUUUAAUUAGAAUAUUACCACCAAAUUAUUUUAAAAAAUCCCUCUUUUUAUCCAUGUAUAUAUUUAUGUUCUAAACUGUCGUUUGGGCUCUAGACACAACCAUGCCAUACUCAAACACAACCAUGCCACACUGAAAUUCCAACCAUACAAUUACACUAGACAUGUAAAUCCCACAUAUACUAAUUAAUAACCCCUUUAUUGCGCAUUACCAAAUCAUUUCAAAUCUUCUAGAGUGUCUUUUUCGAUGAUUCCGAACAAAAACAUACAUUAUAAUCUCUGAGACUAGCUAGUAGUAUUGACCAAGUAUUCUUGACAUCUAAAACAUUCACAGUGAUUGAACCUGAAUGAGUCGUAAUCGAACACUGAUCUUUUAGUUCACAUAAUGAAUCAUUGGUCCACCAUAUACAAUUGAAUUUUCUUUUCAAAUGUUACGUACUUAAAUCAAGUUACUUAGAGAACAUCGUGUUGAUACAAGAAAUCUAACUCUUAUAUUAUUAUAUAUAGAUUCCCAAAGACCUUUAUUAACAAAAACAAAACCACACAAAAACGAUCCUUAUAGUUGCACUAGGAAAGCAAGAUGUGUUAGGCAGGGUUGGCUUGUCGUUUUAUAAAGGCUAGGGCAAAGGCUAUAUAACCUAAUAUAUUUAGGAGCUGAUGACUCAACAACCACUCAAAACCACACACUUGCAAAAUAAUUACAAUUUAAGAGCAAUAUUUUUUGCUUAAUUUAACGAACUAAGUUAAGUUAAUUAGAUAUAUGUUAAUGUUAUCCCUUCGCUGGUUAAAAAAAUAUGAAGAUCGACUAAUGCCGAACGCAUAUUGGAUCGUUUGGUUGUAGAACUAUUUGACUUUGUAUCAUGUAACGUCAUCAAAAUUCAGGAUAUCGUUUGGUUUUGUCCUAUAGUUUCCUGACUUAGGCUCGUUGACAAUAUACGCAAUACAUAAGCUUCAGGUAAACUUUUUAGAUAGUCGGAUAAUUGAUCAAACGUUUCUCUAAAUAUCAAAUAACUUAGGCAUGCAUGGGUUUAUUAUAGUCCAUUUGUAAAACGACAGUGUUAACAAAAAUAUUUGCAAAUUGAUAUUGGACGUCUUUAGACUUUUUGGGUGUUGACAGAAAGUUACAUGAUUGGAGUAAUAAGGCUUUUUCGUUAAAGUUGUUUUUCUCAGAAGUUGAUUUCAGGUUUUACUGUUUUAGUGAGGACAUACAUUGCUACUUGAGGAAACCACAUUUUCGAGAGAGACCCCCUAGUUUCUACUGAACUAGUUCUUGGAUUUUAGAUCAAAUAUACAUUUGAGAAUAACAAGCUCUGAUGUUAUAGAUUUUCAUCUUAAACCGACUGAUAAUAUUGAAUGAAAAAGUUUAUAACCAUUAGUACUCCUUUUUAAUGUGUAAUUCACAUCACCUUAAACUUUGUUGACUGACUUAAACCCUCAAGUUGCAUAAUUUGAGUGUGUACUGUGUUGGUCAAACGAAAGGCAAAUACACACCAUCAAGUCAUAUCAUUCAGACAAAGUCUAUUUCUUCUUUAUUUCUGUCUCAUGUCCUUUUGCUCGGUUUGUUCUUCUUCCACAGCCUCAAGUUUUUUUUUCUGUUAUUUCUUUUCUUUUUACCUUCCUUUCUAAUUUGCUUUUUUUCUUCUUAGUGUUUACUUUAUCUAAUAUUAUUUUGAUAUUUGUUUUUAUUGGAUCAUGAACUAUAUAUAAAGUAUUUUUAAUGUUUCAUUGUUUUGGUCCCAUCAGUAACACUACCACCGAUACUGGCCUACCUUAUUUUCAAUUCUUUAAAAAGAAAUCUCUUAGAUCUUCCAUCUUAUAAAUAAAAAUGCAAACUGAAACCUAAUGUAAUUAGUAAUUAAAAUGAUAAUUGUGGUACCUAUAUAUCCUCUUCUAGCCAAACUAUCUACAUUUGUUCCAACAAAACAAGAAGAAUCUAAAAAAUUUGAAUUUUUACUCGUUUUCUUGCCAUAUGAGAAUUUGAAUUUCCAAUGAUUUUCUUCUUUUAGAAAUUACCGGUAUAUUAUUUUAUUAUUUUAUCGAUACACUAUUUUUAAUGAAAAAUGAGUGAUGUCACGAGGGUCCAACUGAUUGGUGGAUUAAGGAUAAGCCAAUCACCAAAGGCAAAAUUUAUUAUAUCAUCACACCUUUUACGAUAAUUUUUACAACUCCAUUUCUCUUAUUUUUGUGAGAACUUUAUAAUUAUAGACCCAAUUUAUAGUUUUGUAUUUUCUUCGUUCGUGCCCUCAAAUUCGCCAAAUUGAGAUAACACACAAACGUAUGUUAAUAAAUAGAAAUGCCUAACUUGUUAUAAAGCUGUGCGUUCAUUUGCGUAUAAGUGAGCUCCUGUUUAUAAAACUACUAUCUUAACAACAGAACUAAAAAUUAUAAAACUACUAUCUUAACAACAGAACUAAAAAAAAACAGAACUACACAAAAUCGUUUUAAAAAAAAAGAGAAAUACACAAAAUCAAAACAAAAUUCUUACCUUUUAGUUAAUAAUUUAUACUAUUAAUCACGGAUACGUAAUCCAUUUUCCUUCUAGUUGAAUAGUAAUAGAAUGAUACGAAUAAAGGCCAAAAUCAUGAGUGAGGUUCUUCUAAUUAAAUUUUAUUAAGGUCUUGCUCCACUAUCACUGCCAAUUUAGAUCAUUAUCGUCAGUCGUAAUCAUGGGAAUUAUGUUUUUUAUUAAUAUACCAUGUCUAGCAAAAGGUUUAUAAUUCUCAUAAGACCUACUUGUCAUUGCCUAAUUAUUUCCCUGGUUUAUUUUAGGUUUAAAUUUUUUUUCCAUUUUUAAAAUUAGUUUUAUGCUUGGUAUCCAAGUAUGAUCAAGUGCAUGCAUACAUGAUACAUGCAGCUCACAUGCCCAUAAUACAUGCAUGCACAAUGCAUUUGUCUCUAUAGAUAUUGGUUAAUAAUUUGUACUUGAUGUUACAUUGCGGUACUAAUCAGUCUGGAUUUGAUUCAAAGUUGUGUUUAAAAUACAAGUCCACCAUUUAGUUUUAAAUAUUAAAAUAUAUAUUGCCUGAUAUUAAUUACUCUGAAUUUGAACAUUGGUCUGCAAAUGGUUCAUGUCCCUCAAGGAGAAGAGGAAGAAAAUCCAAAGAGACAAGAAGACAAAGUGGGAGAACUUCGAAAACUUGAGCUCAAAUUUCAAUCCCAAAAUGAUUGAGGUAAUAGUUAUCAAAUGAAACAUUUUCAAUGGUGUAAUUAAUAUUUCCGAUGUGAUGUCAUUCACCCACCCCAACUACAAAUUCGUUUUAUAUUCAUGGUUUUUUCUUGCAACUGUUUCUAUGCACUUCUUCAAUCAUUUUAAUCGAAAACAGAUCGACACAAAUAAAGUUUAAAAUCACCUGUAAAUCAACUACUAAAAUAACAAGUCUCUUAAAGAUACACUUUCAAGAUACACUUUCUUUGCGUAUUCAAUAUAUAAGUGAGUGUUUUCUAAUAAAAUAUUUAUUUCGUUUCAUUUUAAUUGUAGUUUUAAAUUUUUACACACAAAAUAAAAAAUAUUUAAUUUUGUAUAUUUUUUAAAUUAAAAACAUUACUACCCAUACAUCUAAUCAUAUUUCAACCAACAGAAUAAUAAACUAAAGAAUAUUGUUAAUAAAUUUUGUAUAAAAUUCUAAAACGAUAUUUAUUUUGUAACGAAAAUUUAACGAUAAUUAAACUGACACAAAACUGCUUAUGAUUAAUACAUAAAAUGAACAUGCUUCUAAGAAGAAAAUUGAAUAGUUUGCUGUGGUUGUUUUCACAUCGGACUCUGGUAACUCAAACUUCGAGAUGUCAUUAUGUCUAGUUCAGGUGCUGGUAUAUAUAUAUAUAUAUAUAUAUAUAAAUUCUUCUCGUUUUGUUUUACUUAGUUUUCAUUUUGAGCAAUACAUUUCAUAUUUAAGUAUAGAGGAGCUUAUAAUAUUUUUUAAAAAAAUUGUAUAAAAUUUAUACGUGGAUUAUGUUACAUGGAAUGAGAAAAGGCCAUAAUUGUUGAAUGUGAAGAUAGCAAAUAAUGUUGAGCCAAUUGGGUAUCCAAGAGCCAGAAAGAAGAUUGUCCAUGAUAAAAUAAUUGAAAAAACCGACACUCGAUGUUUUGAAGUUUGGCUCUUUAGAUAUGUAGAGUCACUCACUACACAGAAAGGAGCCGGCCACUCCCAUGUGAAAAUGACUAAUUAACUUUUCUUUAUUUUUACAAUCUUAUUCCUAAUGGGAUUCGGUUCAUUUACUAUAUAUUGAAGUAGUUAACUUAACUGAAUGUUCCCAAAAGAAAAAAAUAGCUAACUGAAAGAAACAUGGAAAUAUUGAAUAGACAACUAAAAGUUUAGAAAAUAGCUAGCAAAAUAACAUCCAAAAUAUCCAAAAAUAUGAAGAACUAUCAAAACUUAUUUGAAAUAUCCGAGCAUAAAUAUUUAAUCUUUAUUGUGUGACAUGAAACAUGCGGAUCAUCGUUAUAAGUUUUGAUUAUUGGAAGUUUAGUGUGAUUUUUAGAUGUCAGUUUCAAAUGCAUGCAUUGCUCGCACUCGAAUUUAACCGCGGUUAGAGCCGUCAAAUUUUCAAAACUGACAAAAAAAAAAAACUUGUGCAAUAUAAAGAUAACAUGAUUGAUAUUCAACGUAGAUUUCGUAGCUACUAUACCAAUGAAUCAAUCCAGAUGACGGCCUAUAAAAUUCAGGGAUUUAAUAGUGGGCUCCAAGCCCGCAUGUUGAAUUAGAUACAGUCCAUGUAAGACUAUAUUAAACCGACAUAAUCAAUUAAUCAUCAUAAGCUGGUCACAGAGUCACAUGACUCGUCCGUAUUGGACCAGACCUCUGGGAUUACCGCAAGUCGCAACAUCUCUAACAAAACCAAACCACCUCUGACGUGCCGACCUGUAUUUCGCAUCGUCUAAAAGCAAAGAUAAACACAGAUGGUAAAAGUAAAACACGUGAAUAUUCUUCAUUUUCUACACAUAUUUUUACAAUAGAAUCUUCGAUUGGAACAGGUAUAAAUUAAUCUUGAUUGAUCCCAAUAUAUAAAAGAGAUCUAUAUAUAUAAAAAUAUGUUCGCCUCACUCCUGCUUUGCCACGUCAUAAAGUCGGUUUCUGACAAGCCGACUCGUGUCCGGUUUGGGAUGAUACUCACCGUUUCACUCAAUCGCAAUUAUUAAUGGGCUUUUCUCUUUUUGUUAAUAAAUAUUUUAGAUCGGUGUUUUGAGCUUAACAUAAUUGGGAUUCUGGGCUGUAAAGUAACACAUGAGGGGGUCCCACAUGAGACGGCUUCUUCUCCAAAAAUAAUGUCGACGAACGAAAGACAGAUCUGCUGCGUUUUAACAACUCCGGUUCAAACCUACGGCCAAUGAAGAUUUGCUGCACCGGCCACGCUGAAUUCCGAUCAAGGUCAGUUGGAAAGCGUCGUAUUUGGCUGUUCGAUUCCACUUCUUCUACCCUUGAUUGAAUUUUGGAACCGUUACAGAAGUCGGUUGGAUUCAUGCAUCCUCAUUGACUAUCACAUUAAAUCAUUCAAUGAACCCCCUCAUUAAAACAUUUUAACUCAAAUAUAACUAAUCUUAACAUAAAUAAUCCUUCGACAUCCUAAAAUUCUCAAAACCCAUAAACAUUAUUAUAUACUUCUCUUAACAAAAUGUUACAAAACAUACAUACAAAGGGAAUAUACAAUUACAUCACAAAAAAAAACAUGAAUUACUUUAGGAAUGACUUCAAGUUUUGAGUCAUAUUCGCAAAAAAAACUCUUAAAUAAGUUAGUUUAAUUAAGAAUAUUAUAAAACAAAACAUUUGAAUUAAAAUAAAUAUUAAAAAUAUAAUGUUAUUUAUCAGAGAAUAGUGAAAUGUACUAUCAUUAUAAUUCAAAACAAAAAAAAUAAUUAUAAUGAUCUCAUAAGUCUUUCAUUAUUUUUUCGUGUAUAAUAUUUUUUAAUCUAUCAUAAUUUUAAAUUACUUCAUAAAUUAUUAUAAAAUCACUUUUAUUAUAACUUCCCGCCCGUAGGGCGGACCGGUCCUAGUUCCAAUAAAUAAAAAGGACUGAGAGAGUGUUUUCAGCCUAUCCACUUCAGACUAAAAAAUCAACCAAUCACGAAGCUUUAUAGUUCCACGUCACAUCUAUAUUUUGUCGACAAAGAAUAUAACCGGGCCAGUAAAUUUGGGCUGAACAAAAUUGAAAGUAGCCUUCUAUGGAAUAGCCCAUCUCUUUUUCUAAGCAGAAUGUUCGUACCGCUCUUGCUCUUGCUCUUGCUCCUAUCUUCAUUAGAAUAUCUUUCCACCUCCCUUUGUUUCUCCUCUUAUAUAAACCCCUUGAUGAUAAAACAGGUCCGUUAACUAUUGUUAUCCGAGCCGAGUUAUCUAAAAUACGAACCCUCGACUCGAGAUUCAUUACACCACGACGAUUUGUUGUUCUCUACCUCUGAAAGUCAGGUAUUAUUUUAUUAUUUAUACUUUAGCACUCAAUCUCUUUGUUUCCGAAUUACCAUGGAAUUGUACGCCUGAUUAGAUUUAUCCAAUUGUACAAUUUUUCGUUUCAUUGAAUCAGAGUCGAGAAAGUUAUAAAGUAAGAUGAGCAAGAAAUAAAAGAGUAAAAAAAAAGAAAGAUUGUGGAUGCGCAGUUGUAUGAGAAUAAUUUCAGUAGAGGAGGAAACUAUAUGGAGAGGAGCAAGCAAGAAGCUUCACCCGAGAAAGUAAAUUCAUCUUACUGUCAGCAGAAAGAAUAAGUCUGAUAAGAAGAAAGAAGGUGAUGAUGAUGAGAUCAACAGCAGAUUGAGUUUGGGAACACUUUCCUUCCAGCCUAACUUCCUGUUUCCGGUUUAGGUAAUGUUAAUCUUUGCUCGAUUUGAUUUAAUAUGUAUGUGGUGAUGUCCUAUUUUGUUGCAUAUGGCUGACAUCAUCUGAUUGCUUUCAUCUUCUCCUCUUGAAGAAUAGCAUUUUUUUUUGUCAGAUUGAUUGAGCUUAGAAUCAUUAUUUUGUUUCCUCAUGUAUUCGUAUAAUGAUUUGUAUUCUCUAUUUUCGUUACAUGUAAUAUUAAAUUUCAAUUUUUCAGGCAUAAAGUUAAAUGUAAUAGUUAACAUUGGUGAUUCUUUCUGAAUCUCCAAAAAAUUCAUAAUUUUCUCAGCAGAUUCUUGAAAAUGAUCCCUAAUAAGUCUCAGAUCUGCGAUGGCUACUUCAUAAAAUCAAUUGAAGGAGACAUGCUGGAUUAUCUUUAAACAAUAAAGCAUCUUUUGCUUUCCAUUUUUCAUAUUUUUGUAUUUAGCCAAUAUCAUACGUCUCACUUAUUUCAGGUACGUUCACCUAGAACCUGAGAUUUACCUGGAUCCAAAGAAAUAUGAGCCUUCAAGAUGGGAGGUAUGUAGAUAUACCAGAUUUGUGGUGCAUUCAACAAUUAAACUCUCUUUGUAAUUUGUAGUUGUUGUUGCAAAAGAGUAGCUAAACACGGUCAAGUUCAUUCUACAAGGAUACAUGCCAAAACCAGGUACAUUCCUUCCUUUUCAUUUAUGAAGCGAUCUUUGUGCCGGGAACGAUCUUGCGAAGCUCGAGAUUUCCAUUUUUCUUCAUCUUUGACCACUGAAGAUGGGGUUAGCUACUGUCGCUUUGAAGCUGUGGGUUAUGACUUCAACACUAUCCAGCUGAAUCAGCUGGUGAGAAGGCUUCUGUCUUGCUUUGAUCCCAACAAAUUCUCUGUAGAGUGUCGCUGUGAGCGCGUACAAGCCGGAAAUUAGUGUAUACUUGGAAGAUUAUGGGUUUAGAGAGAGGACAUUUGAGUCUCUAGGAGAAGAGGGUAGACCAGUGAUGUAUCAUACGUUUGAGAAGCUUGGCAAGUAGUGUGCGUCGCCUAGAUCCACCUUGAAGUAGGACUGGAGCAGGCUGAGCAGCAAUAACAAAGGGACACGAGGGAAUCUAGCAGAAUUUUAUCUAAACUAUUUUCGAUCUUUUUGUUUUUGCAUUUUUUAAAGUAGUGAAUAAUGAUUUCUGAAAUUAAGGUAUUCCGUUCACAAGCAUGUGUGUUGUACAAUUUCGCUUUAAUACAGUAUAUGGAAUACUAUUAUGAUUUACAGCUUUUUACAUUACUUAUUUGUGUCUUUCUUUUGGUUGUCGAGGAUUGAAUGAAAAAAAAAAGACAAAAUACUUUGAUCAUACUGCAGCGAUAUUAAUCUUGAAGUUUAGAAUCUGCACGUAUCAUACAAACUUGAGUUCCUUAUUAAGACAUGUUCUUCUUGCUGGUUGUCAUCAUCUUCAAAGUCAUUAGCUUCUUAUCAUUUGUGCAAACUGGAUUACCUCAACUCAUAUCUAACUAAAUAAAAUUUUAAACUGUAUAGUGUACUUAGGAUAUAGAAAUUUGAAUAUUAAUCAUAUUGAUCAAUAAUAUUACUUAUAAAAUAUAGAAGAAAUAUACAUGUUUAACCAUCAGCAAGUAUGCAUUCUUCUAUUAAUAAAUUCAGAAAUAAUUGUUUAUGGACUUGGUUGUUAUGUUUGGCUUAACAACAAUGUGAACUUAGGAUUACUAACCAAAAAAUUAAAAUAGAAGCGUUGAUUUUUUUUUUGUCGGCAAAUAGAAGCGUUGAUUAGUUUUACACUACAAGAAAACAUCACCUUAACGAGGGCGGUUUUCCUCGUUAUUUCGUCGUAAAAGAGGCUUUACGACGAAAUAGCGAGGAAGCGUGUUUGCUCGUUACUCGUCCGUCGUAACACAUAUUUCCUCGCUAAUUCGUCGUAACUUAGCGAGGAAUAUAUUUCGUCGUAAAGACGAAGUAGGGCGAUUCGUCGUAAAGACCACGUCAAUAUUCCACGCAAAGACGUCGCUACAAUUCCUCGUAAAUACCUCGAAAUGAGUUUCUCGUAACCUACACGUAAAUACCUUGAAAGAGUUUCCUCGCAAAAUACACGUAACAACCACGAAACGAUUUCCUCGUAAAAUACUCGUAAACUUUUCCUCGUUAUUUCCUCGCAAAUGUUUCCUCGUAAAAUAGUCGUUAAUUGUUUCUCGUCAUUUCCUCGUAAGGUUUCCACGUAAAGAGGUCGUACAUUAGCUACGAAUUUACUUAGUUUUUAUUAUUUUUACCGAAUUUAAAAAUAUAAUUAAAAAAUAAUUAAAAUUAUUUAAUUUAAUAAUAAAUUAAAAAUUAAAAUAAAAAUAAAUCAAAAUGAAAAUAUUUUAUAUAUAAAUAAGUUUUGAAUUUAUAUAAUACAACAACCAAAAAAAAAACUAAGGGUCGUUCAUCGCCCAGUAGAAUUCAUCACUCCUCCUCGUAACAUCCGCCUCGUUAUGUACGUCGGAUGACUCGCCUUGAAUGGGAUGUUGUUGUCGCAUGUUCCUCAACGUGGACUCCCAUUCCGGAUUUGUGGCCGCAAUAACGUCCAAGAAACCCUCAACUCCACCCAUACGAGAUUUUGUCGCGGUCAACUCGUUACGCAGCUGAGCGGACUCUCUACGCAGCUCAGUGACUUCAUCAUCCCGUCGCUGACCAUAAGACGAUGUCGCUCUCAGAACAUCGUUGACGGAACCAAUACCCAACGUCCGUCCCUUUUUUUUAGGGACAACCUUAAAAACAAAAAAUAAAUAUUGUAAGUAAAAAUUUAAAGUUAAAUUAAAUGAAUAAUAAAAAAUUAAUUUUUUUGAAAAUUUACCUCCUCGUAAAUCUUAUCCACGUCAAGUGUGGAUAAGGUGACGGGUAAUCCGUCGGUAGACUGCUGGGUCAGCUGAGUCUGGCGGUCUUCAACCCGAGCAACUACGUCGUUGUAGAUUUGCUCAGACUUGUCAUCUACAAAUACGCUCGCCUUGUUCUUGUGGGUCCUCUCGUAAAGUUCCAUAAGAGAAGGGAGAUGUCCCGUCUCUUUGGCCUAAAAAACAGUUAAGAAAGUUAGAAUAAAUUAAUAUAUAUAUUAAAAAAAUUAUUUAAUAAAAUAUUUAAUUUCCAUUUCCAAACGGACACCGGCGUGGGGUUUUUGGCCCGUAGUGUGAAGCAUCGGUCCGUUCCCGUGCUCAUCGACCGUGUUACGGGAGUUAGAGCAAGCUUGGGCGAUUCUAAUGGAAUCAGGAAGGCGCCAAUAACGGAUGAAGCCAUCUCACACAUCCGUGGUGAGCUCAGCGGGUUUGCCACGCUCAUACCCCUUCACGAUCCAGUCACCCUUCCAGUUGGAGACCGUGUCCAACAAGCGAACUUUCGCCUUCGCGUUAAACUUCUUCCUCACCCUCUCAGUGAUCCCCAAGGCCCAAGUAUAUUUUUGUUGUUGGAAAAAUAAAUUAACAAUUAGUUUUUUAGAAAGUAUAUAUAUAAAUCAUGAAAAAAUUAAAGUAUAUAUAAUUAAUUAAUAGAAACUUACAGCGUAAAUUUUGAACCACGUCUUUCUGACGUAGUGAGGCGUCUUACUCCAGUUUGGAUGUGGCAUGGAGAAGUAACCCUUGAUCGUGUCGGUUACGUCCGAUGCAAGACAUCCGUCAACCCCCCCACCUGGAAAAUACAAAUUUAAAAUAUAAAUUAUUUUUUAAUGUUAUAAAAGAAAUUUAAACGAAUUAAAAAAAAAUUAAUGCAACAUACCACAAAGUUCCGUCCGGUCGGUCUGGGUCGAUGACUGGUAAACCUUCUCUGCCUGGCAGACUGAUAAUGUCCUCUACAGUGUACUGCGAGUAAAGAGCACUCGGAGGCACCAUCAAAUCAGGAUGAAUAUCGGCGGCCAUCGGAGGUGCCAUCGGAGGAGGCACAGGAGGAGGCAUCGGAGGAGGCACAUGAGGAGCCAAUGGUGCAGUAGAAGAAGUAGACCCAGAGACUCUCUGAGUGUACUGAGUCUCGGGGACAGUCUCCUGGCCCGAAGAACUGGGAGCGGAAGAAGAGGCCGGGUCUAAACGACUACCCGGCUCACCGAAGAUCUCUCUGUAAUGGGCAGUAAGUCUUCCUUUUCGAACCUGGAAAAAAAUGAAAUUUUUAAAAUUAACAUCAACAAUAUAUUUCCCAACAUUAUCCACAUAAUCAACACUAAACAACAUAAAAUCCGCAAACCUAUCUAAAUUCCCUAUACUAACCACCUAAUCUAUCAUAAACUAACCAAAUUAGAGAGGAAUCAGAGAGGCUAACCAUUGCUACGAAAUGGAGAGGAAGUAGAGAGGAAAGAAAGAGUGAGCGCUCGGGUGUAUAUAUAAGAAUACAUAUCGUCGCAAAUUCCUCGUAAGUUUACGACGAAAUAGCGAGCAGUUACAAAGGCCCGUCUUUUUUUUUACGAGGAAAUUGCGAGGAAUCACAAAGGCCCGUGUUUUUUUAUACGAGGUAUUAACGACGAUUUACCUUACGAGGAAUUAACGAGGCUUGCUUUCCUAUAAAUAUACCCACAACUCUCACUCUCAAACCACACACAAACUCCCAAAUCACACCUUAUCUCAAAUCACAAUCCUCAAAAAAAUCCUAUUCAAAUUAUAAAUAUUUGAAAAAAAUAGGAAAAGGAGAAGAUAUUAGAAUUCAUGUGGGCGAGACUUACGUAUUAUAAUUGCUGGAAGUCUUGCCACAUGUUAAUCUGCUAUUUCUCUCCUUUUCCUUUUUUUUUCAAGUUUGUACACUACGAGAUAUUUACGACGAUUUGUACUUACGUGGAAUUAACGGGUUUAUGUAUAAAUCCGUUUACGUGGUCUUUACGACGAUUUCUGCUUACGUGGAAUUAACGAGUGUUUUGUUUAAAUCAUUUUAUGUGGUAGUUACGACGAUUUCAUCCUACGAGGACUUUACGACGAUUUGUGCUUACGUGGAAUUAACGAGUGUUAUGUUUAAAUCCCUAGAAUCCGAAACCCGAAACCCGAAACCCGAAACCCAAACCCGAAACCCGAAACCCCAUACCCGAAACCCCAAACCCCAACCCCCAAACCCGAAACCCGAAACCCAAACCCCCAUCUUUAAUUUUCUACUUCAUAUAUUCCAAACCCCAUAUUUAAUUUUAAGUUUCGUCGUUAUUUUUAACGAGUGUUAUGGUUAAAUCCCUAGAACCCGAAACCCGAAACCCGAAACCCGAAUCCCGAAACCCGAAACCCGAAAUCCAAAACCCGAAACCCCAAACCCCGAACACCUAAACCCGAAACCCCAAACCCGAAACCAAAAACCCGAAACCCGAAACCCGAAAUCCAAAACCCGGAACCCCAAAACCCGAAACCCCAAACCCCAAACCCAAAACCCGAAACCCCAAACCCCAACCCGAAACCCGAAACCCGAAAUCCAAAACCCGAAACCCCAAACCCCGAACACCUAAACCCGAAACCCCAAACCCGAAACCAAAAACCCGAAACCCGAAACCCGAAAUCCAAAACCCGGAACCCCAAAACCCGAAACCCCAAACCCCAAACCCAAAACCCGAAACCCCAAACCCCAAACCCCAAACCCCAUAUUCCUUAUUUUCUACUUCAUAUAUUCCAAACCCCAUAUUUAUUUUUAGGUUUCGUCGUUAUUUCCUCGUUGUAUUACGUUAUAUUUACGACGAUUUCAUCCUACGUGGUUUUUACGACGAAUUCAUCCUACGUGGUAUUUACGACGAUUUAGUCCUACGUGGAAUUAACGAGUCCUUCGUCGUUAUUUACUCAUUGGAAUACGAGGACUUUACGACGAUUUAAGGUUACGUGGAAUUAACGAGUGUUAUGUUUAAAUCCCUAGAAUCCAAACCCGAAACCCCAAACCCCAUAUUCCUUAUUUUCUACUUCAUAUAUUCCAAACCCCAUAUUUAUUUUUAGGUUUCGUCGUUAUUUCCUCGUUGUAUUACGUUAUAUUUACGACGAUUUCAUCCUACGUGGUUUUUACGACGAAUUCAUCCUACGUGGUAUUUACGACGAUUUAGUCCUACGUGGAAUUAACGAGUCCUUCGUCGUUAUUUACUCAUUGGAAUACGAGGACUUUACGACGAUUUAAGGUUACGUGGAAUUAACGAGUGUUAUGUUUAAAUCCCUAGAAUCCAAACCCGAAACCCCAAACCCCAUAUUCCUUAUUUUCUACUUCAUAUAUUUCAAACCCCAUCUUUAUUUCCAUUCCAAACCACAAUUCCCACAUUUGCUUAUUCAUAAAACAAACUCCCACAUUACCUUAUUCAUAAAACAAACCCCACAUUAUCUUAUUCAUAAAACAAACUCCCUCAUCUUAUUCAUAAAACAAAUACAUCAUUCGGAUACAUCGACAUUCUCGUCAUCACUAGAAACAUCAUCAUUUUCAUUAAGCUCGUCUUCAACAGUUUCGUCUGUGGCAUCAUCGGUAAGAUCUUCGUACUCGUGAUUAUGCGGAUCAAUGAGAAGGAUAUCAUCAAUUUCUUGUUCAGGUUCCUCAACUUCAUUUAUCUGUUCUUCUUGCAAUGGUGGUUCUUCUCCACUGAUGAUUCGUCCUCGAGGUGUAACUUUGAUUACUGCUAACCAAUUUAUACAUGAAUCUCUCAUCCGAGGGUAUGGAAGGAAGCUAACUUGGUCUGCUUGUGAAGCUAAGAUGAAAGGCUCGAACUUGUUGUACCUUCGUCCACCGUUGACAUCAACUACACCGAAUUUGUUAGACCGAACACCUCUGUUGACGACGGGGUCGAACCAUUCACAUUUGAAAAGGACGCAUUUCAGCUUCAGUAUCCCUGGAAAUUCGACUUCAAUAAUCUCCAUCAAGAUCCCGUAGAAAUCUGUUUCCCCUUUCACACAUAUUCCAUAGUUACUGGUCGCUCGUUGUCUACCAUAGUCAUAUGUAUGAAAAGUAUAGCCUCGUGUGAAAUACAUCUGUGAUGUGGUGACCUUUACAAGUGGAGAUUGAAUUACUUCGUGUAACCACUUAGGAUAAUCUGCAUCGUCGUCGUCAUAAUCAACCUGCAAAAAUAAAGAGAAUGUUAAUGAAAUACAGAUAAUGUAUGAAAUUUUUUUUAGUUAAUACCUGAUUCCGCAACCACUUAAUGAAGUGUUGAUCUUUCCUUUUGUCUACGUCACUUGUGGAUAUACCAGGAAAUGUUUCUUCGACUUGAGAAACAAAUAGGCUGUAAAAUCACAUUUUAUAGGAAUGAAUCUCUCGCAAUUAUACAAUUAAUUAUACUUAUAUGUGUUUCGAAGUGUCAAUAUAUGUUACCUUUCAAAAUAACGAAUCAAUGGAUCUUCGCAAUUGAGUAGAAUAUAGGUGUGUGCACUAUGAGCGUCUUGUUCACUCGACCACCAAACCUCUUUAGACUUCCCACCGAGUCGCCCAAUCUGGCUAAAGAUGUCUGGAACACCAGCAACUGCAUAUGUUGGCGCAACACCACCAUCAUCAUAUCUUCUUGGAGCUCUUCUCUGUGUACGUACUUUUGACGCAAAGUAGUACGAUGUGAAGUGAGAAACUUCUUCCGUCAAACUUCCAGCAAUUAUAGAACCUUCAACUUUGGCGAGGUUCUUUGCUUUUCCCUUCAAAUAUUUCAUGGCUCGCUCAUACUGAUACAUCCAUCCGUAAUGUACAGGUCCACGAAGCAAUGCCUCAUAUGGGAGGUGGACAGCUAGAUGCUCCAUGACGUCAAAAAAUCCGGGAGGAAAUAUCUUCUCCAAGUUGCACAAUAAGAUGAGAAUGUUCUCCUGAAGCUGUUCCACAACUUCUUCUUUAAGAGUGCGUGUGCUCAGAUCCCUGAAAAAUGCUCCAAUGCCUUUUAUAUUCAAAAAAAAAAUUAAACACAUUGUUAGUCAUAUAUUAUUUUGUAAAUUAUUGUGAUAUAAUACACUACGUACCUGCAAGUGCUUCAUGUACGUUUGUUGGAAGUAGCUCCGCAAAUGCAAAGGGCAGUAGUCGUUGCAUAAAUACAUGACAAUCAUGACUCUUCAUCCCGGAGAAAUUUUGACCCUUUUCAACACAUCUAGAGAGAUUCGAAACAUACCCAUCGGGGAACUUCACUUCUGAUGCCACCCAGUUGAACAACACCGACUUUUUUUCUAAAGAUAAUCUGAAUAUCGGAACGGGAACUUGUCCAUUGCUUUUAAUAUGUAACUCGCUUCUUGAGCAAAUAUCCGGCAAGUCCAACCUCGAUUUUAUGUUGUCUUUUGUCUUCCCUGGGACAUUCAAUAUUGUAUUCAUGAUGUUCUCAAAGAAAUUCUUCUCUAUAUGCAUCACAUCGAGGUUGUGGCGCAGAAGAAGAUCCUUCCAAUAUGGCAACUCCCAAAAUAUACUCUUCUUGUGCCAGUUGUGAUGAACACCGUAAGAAUCUGGCAUAUUACGAGGGACAUGCCAAUUACCACCCCAACGAACUGUUUCGUUAGCUCCGUAGUAGUCGAUUUGCGCUUCAAUUUGUUCUCCAGUUAGAUAUGGAGGAUGAGUGUCUCUCACAACCCUUUUGUGCCUAAACAAAUUCUUGUUUCUUCGGUAAGGAUGGCCAAUGGGAAGAAAUCGACGGUGACAAUCAAACCAACUUGUCUUCCUACCAUUCUUCAGUUGAAACGCAUCUGUCGUUCCAUUACAAUAUGGACAAGCUAAUCUCCCAUGUGUAGUCCAUCCAGACAACAUCCCAUAGGCAGGAAAAUCACUUAUGGUCCACAAAAGCAUCGCUCGCAUCGUAAAAUUCGUCUUCGUUGAACAGUCAUACGUCCUCACCCCUGUUGACCACAAAUCCUUCAACUCUUUUAUCAGUGGUUGUAGGAAAACAUCCAAGGACCUUUUUGGAUGGUUCGGACCAGGUAUUAAUAUGGUCAAGAAUAGUAACUCCCGUUGCAUGCACAUCUCCGGUAGCAGGUUGUAUGGAGUAAGAAAGACUGGCCACAAUGAAUAUUGUCUCCCUGACAUUCCGAACGGACUAAAUCCAUCUAUGCAUAAUCCGAGAUACACAUUCCGGAUAUUGCUAGCGAAAUCUGGAUGUACUUUGUUGAAAUGUUUCCAGGCUCUUGCAUCUGAUGGAUGAGUCAUCUCACCAUCCGUCUGAGUAUGCUCGGCAUGCCAUCUCAUCUUUCCAGCAGUCUGCUCUGAUUGAUACAAUCUUUUCAAUCUAUCUGUAAUUGGUAGGUACCACAUCCUUUGGUACGGUACCCUAUUACGUCCCCGUCCUUGCGGCUUGAAUCGUGGCUUCUUGCAGAAUCGACAUUCUUCUAGCUUCUCAUCAUCUCCCCAAUAGAUCAUGCAGUUGUCGAUGCAAACAUCUAUCAUCUCCAAAGGCAACCCAAGACUAUAAACCAGUUUCUGAAUCUCAUAAUAAGAAUCAGCAGACACAUUGUCUUCCGGCAAGUACUCUUUAAACAAGUCCGCCCAUUCGUUCAUGCAACUUUCAAGUAGAUUGUGAUCAGUUUUAAUAUUCAUCAUUCUAGCAGCUAACGACAAUUUAGAGAGACCUUCUCUACAACCACUGUAAAGUGGUUGAUUCGCCGCGUUUAACAUUUCGUAAAACUUUUUUGCAUCUAUAUUAGGUUCUUCAUCUUCAUCAUGAGCUACGAAUGCAUCAGCUACCAUAUCAUGAACCCUAUCAUAAUCUACCAUCUCUUCCUGAUGGUAACUAUGUUCAUUAUGCAAAUGAUGAUCAACCGGUUUUUUUUCCUGAAAAUUGUUAUUACUACUACUUGCUUCAUUCUGAUCAUAAUUAAAACCCUCUCCAUGUUGAAACCAGAUAUAGUAAUUUGCCGUGUAACCUCUAUUUAUUAAAUGCUUCCAAACAUUUUCACGAUUUGCCAGUUUCGAAUUGUUGCAUUUCCGACAAAGACAGAACAUCUUACCACUUUCUUGGGCGAGCGGUGUUGAAUCUGCUUGAUGCAUAAAUGUCUCCAGACCCGCAAGGUAUUCUUUCGUCACUCUCCCGUUAGCAUCUCUAUGCAUAUACAUCCACUUCCGCAACUCGUAAAUAGUCCCGGAGCCAGCCAUUUUUUUUCUUUCACGUUUUUUGUUGUUGGUGUGUUUAAAAUGAUGUUCAAACAUCCAUAUUUAUAGGAAAAUUCGAAUCUGGUAGUUGUAAUUUUGCUAUGAAUUUAUGACGAAAAUCAAUUAGGUGGGCAAAAAAAACGUGUAACGCCUAUAAAGUUGGUGGAUUCAAAAAUUUCCUCGCUAAAUACACGUAAACUAUUACCUCGUAAAUACCACGCAAAGUUUACGUCGUAUUUACGAGGAAAUAGUUUUUCCUCGUAAAAUACUCGUAAAAUUACAUCCACGUUACGACGAAACAGUUUUGUCGUUACGUUACGAGGAAAUAACGAUGACUUUAGUUUUUCACGUAAAUUCGUCGUAAACUCGACGCAAACUUACGAGGAUUGUUUUUCCUCGUUAAUUUUCGUAGUUAACCAUGUGUUUUUUUGUAGUGUUACCGUUUUUCUAUUGGUAUCAUUACAAAAAAAAACCAUAUUAGGUUUAUGUAAAAUUCAAAUAUAUCUUCUCUUAAACAAGUUAAACUUGCUAAGCUCUCACUAAAGAGAAAAUAUUAUGAGAACGAAAAAAUACAAGUCAGAAUUUCACUAUUUUCAAAAAAAUAAUUUUAAAUAAAUGAAAUUUUCCAAAAAACAAUUAACAAAAAAAAGUAUUUAUAUUUACAUUAGUUAACCAUAAAUUCUUAAUAUACGACAAAAUUACAUACACUAACUUUCAAAAAUAAUUAUGUCAAAAUAAAGUUAAAAUCAAUUUCUCAAAACCAAAAAGGGUUAAAAUCAGUUUAAAAUGACUAAAAAGUACCAAGAAGAAAUUAACUAAAUAUCUAGGUUAAGUUUUUGAAAAUUAAAUUUUAAAAGUGUUGACAUUCUUAAAAAAACAUAUAUGUCAAUAUAAAAUAGAAAUAAGCUUAAAUAUGUUUUAAAAACAAAAUUAUAAGAUAAACAUUUAUGAAUUAAUAAGUUGUUUAGAGCUGCUUUUGAUUCUCAGAAAAUCGCAUUUACAUUUUUUAAUUGUUACCUUCAAUCUAUCAAUAUACCAUUAGAUUUUUCCAUCAUUAUUUAUAAGAAUUUUGGUCAGAACAUCACCAAUUAAUGCAUUGAGAAUUUUUUACAAUUAAAAAAAAAAAUCUAAAUUACUUCUUCGUACUCCAACACCUUCGUAAGCUUAAGAAUAGUGGAAAUAAGUUUCUACUGUGAUAUAUGUAGAUCCUAAAAUCUACACUAAGAAGUUGAUAGUGAUCGGGAGUUCAAUCUAGGGAAGAAAUAACAUGGGCAACGAUAUCUUUAGAACACAACGAUGUAAUCAAGUAUGAGUCGACAAGAAUGGAAUAUAUUCGCAGGUCGAAUAUCAUAGGGAUAUCGGGAUUAAGAAGGAUCGUGAUUGAACUCGGGAUCGAGCUGCCUACGUACCCGUCAAGGGAUCAAGUUUAAACAUAGUUCGAUUAUAAUCAUCUCGAAAAAUAUGUCGGUUUCUUCGGUCAUGGGCGAGACCUCGACUUCGUCGGUCCCGAGCUCGAUGUUUGCUUCAAGCUCUCUUGUCUUGAAUAAUUAGUAGUUAGUGUACGAUUGAUAAGUUAUCGAACUGCAUAUGAUCUCUUUAUAUCGAUCUUGUCGUAUGAAGAUAAGGUCGAUCAUUAACAUGAUACGAGGGUCGUUAUCGUCAUGGAUUCUUGUUUUCACAAUUACAAAGAUGUGUUUACGUCGUGAGAUGAUUAUUGGGAAUCUCAUCUCUCUCGUUCUUCUUAAACCAUAAAGAAAUGGAUGACUUGUUUAAUCAUUAAACAGAGAUAUAAUGAUUCUAUCAUGUGUUGGUGGAAGAAGAUGUCGAUCUUGCCGAGACCGAAGUCUCUCCACCUCUUCGUCAGUCUUUAUUCUUUUGUUUUCAUCCUUUUUGUCUUUGUUUCGUCCCCAGAGAAGAUGCAUUCUUCGUUAGAUCCAAGGCCUCUUUUAUAUGAGAGCAAGGUUGCUGCAAGAAGCUAGUAAUAUGGCUAAUAAUUUGUUGCACAUGCUCCACCUUUCUAGCUACGACCUAUUCUUUAUUGAUCACUCUCCGAUAUAUAAGGAGAAUGAUUCUCUUUGUUCUUUGACUUAUUCAUACUCAAAGAACCUCGGGCUCUAUGGGCCGACUUCGGGUUACGAGUUCUCAUGGGCCUGUCUAAGCUCAACUCGAAGUCGUCGUUAGCCGGUUUCUUAUCAUUUUGGCGGGAAGGAUUUAGUGCUAAAUUCUGGUCCAACAAUAUACAAACAAUAUUCCAAAGUUAUAACUUUUUUAAAUUUACCAGUGACUAAUAUAUCUGCAUAUGUCUAAUGCAAUCUAUCAAAAGUACUAUUAUGUAGUAACUAAAUAUGGAAUCGUUCAUCCUGAAAUCUACUAUAUAUUUCACAUUUUUAUAGCAAAUAAUUAUUUACAAAAAAAUAAAUACCAAAAAGGUUACUGAAAAUAAAUUAUGGCUUCAAAACUUAAAGAAUUACUGAAUCAUUUUAUUGGUCAUCAAAAUUUACAGAUUUAAAUAUUAGAAAUUAUUACACAUUUAUAAAAUUAUAUAUUUAUAUGAAAUAAAGGUUAUUUACCUAUAUUUCAAAAAAAUAAUUUAAAUUCAAUCAGAUGAUCUAUAAAAAAUAUAUAAUAUACAUACUAUAAUAGAAAACAUUUUUAUUUUAUUAAAUGUAGAGUAUUAUAAAUUUUAAGAAAGAUUUAAACAUGAUUACUAAAAGUUUAAUAGAAAAAUUUAAUAUGUUAACGUAAAUUAAUGAUAUUUCAAACAAAUAAAAUAUUUCGUAACAAAUAAAUGACAUAAUAUUUAAAAAACAAACUUAAUUUUUUAAAAAAAUCUAAGGUUUAAGUUAUAUUUAACAUUAAUAUCAUAUAAUUUUAUAGACAAACGACAGAUACGCGCGGUAAAAUCUCUAAUAAAUAUUAAAAGGACUUUUGGAGCAGUUAUCAAAAUCACCUCUAUAAAAAAAUUAAAUCACAUUUAGAAUCUAAUCAAAGUUACUUCAUAAACAAACUGUCAAAUUGGAAAAUUCUCAGCAACGUCUAAGAAAUUUAGUGAGCCUAAAUAGCUUGAAGAACAAGGUAUAGAUGCAAAAGUUUCUUUAUUUCCCAUUUAUAUAUAUCUUUCUACACCCAGUAUGUACAGCAUCAUUAUCAUCAUAACAAAUCAGAAUCAGAAGAGACACACUAUAACGAAAGAUAAAAAAGGACAACUACAUCAUCUACUCAUACAUUAAAAUCCCUAGCCUCUAUGAUCUCUCCUAUUCCUUUCAUACUCAAGAUCAUCAGUAGGAAGCUCAAACCGACAAACCGGGCAUGUGUUCUUCAUCUCUAGCCAAGGUAGUAUACACUCUCCAUGAUAGUAAUGCCAACAAGGAAGCCUAGAAACUUUCUCCUUCACCACAAAAUCACCAAUGCAGAUCGCGCAAGCAAUGUUCCCGCUGCUCAGUUCCUCAGAGGUGAUCUCCACAACAGGAAGCUCAUCAACAACCCUUUUGGACGCGGGAGGACUUGCCAUGACCGAAGGCUCUUGAUCGAAUGGUUGCACAAAAACAUCAAAGUAAUCUACAUGGUCGUCACCACCGGGUUCAGGAAAAAUAGCUAGAAUGUCUUCGUAAGUCACAUCCAUAAUAGAACUGCCUUCAAAAACGCCCAUCAUGAAAUCGUCUAGAGCUUCUUCGUUAAAAUCUUCAAGUAGAGCAUAGUUGUUAACAGGUAACGCCAAUUCAUCUCCUUCCUCCACAUGACUAGUAGGUUGGACAGGAUCUAAUUCCCAAUCGAGUACUUCGUCAUCAGCCAUCAACAUGCCUUCUUCCUCCUCCGCGCAAAAGAGCUCUUCAAUAAGAUCCGUACCAGCUUCGACCCGACCCGAAUCAGUUUCCUUAUCCCCUGUAACCGAAUCACACCGUAUCUGACCCGACCCAGCCCCGGACCCGAUUCCGAGCCUUAAAUCAAUCUCCCCAUCCUCCUCCAUGUCUACACCACGCGAGACACGUUGCAUCUGAUUCCGCCCGGCCGUCUCGAUCUCGUGCGACUCUCUACCGAAGAAAUCGAUGAAGGAGUUCUCCAGAUUCGAUUCCGAAUCCAUAGGGGACGAUCCAGACUCUGAGAAACGGGGAUAUGGAUUGGUUUCUCUCUGAGGCAAGCCGGCGGAUAAGUUCAUGGCAGAUCGAGAAGCCUCCGCAUUGGUUGAGCUACCACCACCACCACCACGUCCACCGUCUUCUUCGACGUUAAUUGGAAAACCGAAGAGUUUCGCCAUUGCUCUGAGAGAGAAGAGAGUUCAAACUAUUUUGUGAGAAUGGACCAAAAAUAUUCGUAAAUAUUACCACUCAAGGAUUAUAUGAUUUUACGACGGUGUAUCGUAUCUUAUUUAUAUGUUUGGGCCAAUUUUGCGGUGUAAAAAACAGUCAAAUAAAUAAUAAAUUUACACAUUUUUACCAAAAAAAAAGUACCAACUCUUCGUCAAUGAAUUUGUAUUGACUAUGCUAAAUUAGAUGUAUUUUUAAUUAAUAUUAAUUUUCAUUUAACCGACAUUUAUGUUUUUCGCAGAAAUUAAUUACGACGGUAUACUUGGACCAAUAUUAGGGUGAGAAAACAGUCAAAUAAAUAAUAAACUUACACAUUUUUACCGAAAAAAGGUAUGAAUUCUUCGUCAAUGAAUUUGUAUUGACUGAGCUAAAUUAGAUGUAUUUUAAUCAAUAUUAAUUUUUACUUAAUCGACAUUUAUUUUAUUCACAGAAAUUAAUUAUGACGAUGUAUUUUAUAUGUUUGGACUAAAUUGGCCCGAGAAAACACGGUCAAAAAUAUAUUGAAUUUACACACUUUUACCAAAAAAAAGUACGAACUCUUCGUCAAUUCAAAAAAACAUAUGAAUUUGUAUUGACUGAGCUAAAUUAGGUGUAUUUUUUAAUCAAUAUUAAUUUUCACUUAACCGGCAUUUAUUUUGCUCGCAUAAAUCAAUUAUGACGGUGUAUCUUAUAUGUUAAGGCCAAUAUUGGGCAGAGAAAACACGGUCAAAUAAAUACUGAACUUACAUAUUUUUACCAAAAAAAGGUACGAACUCUUCGUCAAUCCAAAAAACAUAUAAAUUUUUGUUGACUGAGCUAAAUUAGGUGUAUUUUUAAUCAAUAUUAAUUUUCAUUUAACCGACAUUUAUUUUGUUUACAGAAAUCAUUUUUGGGCCAAUAUUAGGCCCAAAAAACACGGUCAAAUAAAUAUUGAACUUACACAUUUUUACCAAAAAAAGGUACGAAAUAAUCGUCAAUUCAAAAAAACAUAUGAAUUUGUAUUGACUAAGCUAAAUUAGGUGUAUUUUUAAUCAAUGUUAAUUUUUACUUUACCGACAUUUAUUUUGUUCGGAUAAAUCAAUUAUGACGGUUUAUCUUAUAUGUUUGGGCUAAUAUUGGGCCGAGAAAACACGGUCAAAUAAAUAGUGAACUUACACACUUUUACCAAAAAAAAGGUAUGGACUCUUCGUCAAUCCAAAAAACGUAUAAUUUUUUGUUGACAGAGCUAAAUUAGGUGUAUUUUUAAUCAAUAUUAAUUUUCACUUAACCGACAUUUAUUUUGUUAACAUAAAUCAAUUAUGACGGGGUAUCUUAUAUGUUUGGACCAAUAUUAUGCCGAGAAAACACAGUCAAAUAAAUACUGAACUUAUACACUUUUACCAAAAAAGGUACGAACUCUUCGUCAAUCCAAAAAACAUAUAAAUUUUUGUUGACUGAGCUAAAUUAGGUGUAUUUUUAAUCAAUAUUAAUUUUCAUUUAACCGACAUUUAUUUUGUUUACAGAAAUCAUUUUUGGGCCAAUAUUAGGCCCAAAAAACACGGUCAAAUAAAUAUUGAACUUACACAUUUUUACCAAAAAAAAGAUACGAAAUCUUCGUCAAUUCAAAAAAACAUAUGAAUUUGUAUUGACUGAGCUAAAUUAGGUGUAUUUUUUAAUCAAUAUUAAUUUUCACUUAACCGGCAUUUAUUUUGUUCGAAUAAAUCAAUUAUGACGGUGUAUCUUAUAUGCUAAGGCCAAUAUUAUGCCGAGAAAACACGGUCAAAUAAAUACUGAACUUACACAUUUUUACCAAAAAAAGGUACGAAAUAAUCGUCAAUUCAAAAAAACAUAUGAAUUUGUAUUGACUAAGCUAAAUUAGGUGUAUUUUUAAUCAAUAUUAAUUUUCACUUAACCGACAUUUAUUUUGUUUACAGAAAUCAUUUUUGGGCCAAUAUUAGGCCGGAAAAACACGGUCAAAUAAAUAUUGAACUUACACAUUUUUACCAAAAAAAGGUACGAAAUAAUCGUCAAUUCAAAAAAACAUAUGAAUUUGUAUUGACUAAGCUAAAUUAGGUGUAUUUUUAAUCAAUGUUAAUUUUUACUUUACCGACAUUUAUUUUGUUCGGAUAAAUCAAUUAUGACGGUUUAUCUUAUAUGUUUGGGCUAAUAUUGGGCCGAGAAAACACGGUCAAAUAAAUAGUGAACUUACACACUUUUACCAAAAAAAAGGUAUGGACUCUUCGUCAAUCCAAAAAACGUAUAAUUUUUUGUUGACAGAGCUAAAUUAGGUGUAUUUUUAAUCAAUAUUAAUUUUCACUUAACCGACAUUUAUUUUGUUAACAUAAAUCAAUUAUGACGGGGUAUCUUAUAUGUUUGGACCAAUAUUAUGCCGAGAAAACACAGUCAAAUAAAUACUGAACUUAUACACUUUUACCAAAAAAGGUACGAACUCUUCGUCAAUCCAAAAAACAUAUGAAUUUGUGUUGCAUGAGCUAAAUUUGGUGUGUUUUUAAUUAAUAUUAAUUUUCACUUAACCGACAUUUAUUUUUUUCACAGAAAUCAAGUAUGACGGUGUAUCUUAUAUGUUUGGACCAAUAUUGGGCCGAGAAAACGGUCAAAUAAAUACUGAACUUACAUUCUUUUACCAAAAAAAUGUACAAACUCUUCGUCAAUCCAAAAAAAAUAUGAAUUUGUGUUGACUAAGCUAAAUUAAGUGUAUUUUAAUCAAUAUUAAUUUUCACUUAACAGACAUUUAUUUUGUUCACAUAAAUCAAUUAUGACGGUUUAUCUUAUAUGUUUGGACCAAUAUUGGGCCGAGAAAACGGUCAAAUAAAUACUGAACUUACACACUUCUACCCAAAAAAAGGUAUGAACUCUUCAUCAAUUAAAAAAAGGUAUGAACUCUUUAGUCAAUAUUAAUUUUCACUUAACCGACAUUUAUUUUGUUGAUAGAAAUAAAACGAUGUCGUUUUACUAAAAUAUUAAAAAAACUAACAAAAUUCACUAUAAAAUAGUGAGCUUACGUUUUUUUACUAAAAAACGUGAAUGUUUCACUGAUCCAAAAGAUAUAACUUGUUUUCAGUUCGGAUUUUGGAUUCUUGGUUUAUAUAUAACUAGUAUCACCCGCCGUGCUAAUGCACGGAUCAAUUUUACAAACUUUUAAUUUUUUUUGAACAUGUUACUGACUUUAAUUUUUUUUUGAACAUGUUAUAAUCUUCAAUAAGAAUUCAGAACUAAAUUAUUUUAUGUCAAAAUCAUUUCUGAACCUGAAUAACAAUGGUGCCUUCAAAUUUAAAGAGAGAGGUUGAAAAUAGGAGGGCUUAAACAAUAAUUUUGAUAUUAAAUGGUUUACAUGUUUGCCAUAUUUUUCAAUAUUAUUGAGAUUAAAAUUUUGAAUUUUUUUUAAAGUAAAAAUUUUGAUUUUUAAUCUUACUUAUUUUAGUUUUUAUCCACAUUGCCUAUUUUUUUCUAAGAUUAAAAUUUACAAAUCUACCUUGUUUUAUAAAAAACGUUUUCUUGAAUUAUUAUUUAAAGGGUUUGGGAAAAGUGUUUAUCUAAAACAUUAAUUAUUUUCUGUUUUUAGAUAGUUAUCACAACAACAUAGGAAAAUUGUAAAAGAAAACUUAUGAAAUUUCAAAAAAAAAAAAAAUUUAUUUUUUUCAAAAUUAAUUACAGAAAAUGAUUAGAAAAUUAACUUUAAGAAAUUGCAAAGACUAAAAAAAAGGUAAAGAAGGUUAUUGUUUACCUAAAUUUUGAAUGGUCAAGCCUUCUGCAUCCUUCACCAACUCAGAACAUUUCUCUUCAUUUCUUCAACAAUACAAAGAUUGAUGCUCAAUCUUUUACACAGAUUGCAACAUAAGUUUAAUAUAAGCAGGUUAUGAAACUUAGUGAGAAAUCCUUCAUACAAAAAUAAUCCAUGCGAUGAAUGAUAAAAAAAAUCAAAUUAAUGUAGAAAGAAAGAAAAUAUGAAGAUGCCCGUCAGAACGAUGACCGGUUUGUAGAAAAUUUUAUUUGUUGAAAUGAUUUUAUAGUUCGGUGCACAAAAAAGAUGAUUUUGAAGUUUAUUCAGAUUAGCCUAAUCAGUUUACUUGAAAAAAAAAGGGAUCAUGGCUAUAAUUGAGGAAUACGGUUUAGAUAUAUGCAACUUUUUGUUCUUUCUUUACUCGAUACAUACAGCUUUAUUUUUCAUCUAUACUCGACACAUGCAGCUUUAUUUUUCAUCUAAGGAAAAUAUAAUUGUAUCAAUAAUACAUUUAAUUUUGCUUUUAAAAUUAAUUUGAAGCAAAAAUCAUAUGUCAGAAUUUGAUUGGUCAUGUGACUUGUGAUUUAGUAUAUAAGAGAUUUGUCUUGGCCAAAAUAAAUUUAUAUUUUUGGAUCAAUGGAAUUUUAUGCUUUUUAGUAAAAAUGUGUAAUUUUAAUAUUUUCAUGGUGAAUUUUAUUAGUUUUUUUUUCAGUUUAGCAAAAUAACGCCGUUUUGAUUUCCGUUAAAAAUAAAUGUUGGCUAAAUGAAAUUUAAUGUUGACUAAAAUAGUAUCUAAUUUGGCUCAGUCAACGCAGUUCCAUAUGUUUUUUUUUUUGGAUUAACGUAGAGUUCAUGUAUUUUUUCUUUGACAAAAAUAUGUAAGUUCAAUAUUUAUUUGAGUUUUUUCUCAUAUUAGGCCAUGUAAUAGCUGCAGCAAUUAAACAGGUUCGGACAUUAAAAAAUGUCUAACGCAGUUGCCGGGUUUCGAACAUAAAUCACCUAGUUGACCGAUGGGAAUAUUUAUUUAUUUGUUGCGCACGAUCUGAUACUCUGAUAGUAGCCGAGACUGUCUCUGUUCGGAUUCAGUGGUUUAAAGAUAGUAUGAGACUACUAAAUAAGAUUAAAAAAUCGAUAUUUAAAAGUUCAAUAUGUGUGCUUUGAACAAAAACGCAGAACAUGAUGAAUAGUGUUUCAAAUGAAAAAAAAAAGAAGCAAAUCUUUUGCAGUUCAAAAUCUAAAAUUUCUGUGUAAACAUUAACCUCUAUGAUGACGAGGCAAUAACCUCUGUAAUCUUCUGGCGUUUCAUCUCUGGCUCAUCCUCAACGACAUCUUCUUUCUCCUCUUCUUCUUCUUCUUCAGCUCCUGCUGCUUCCUUGUGGCCAUUGAGAUGACCGUUCACAGCUUCAUGACCAAUAAGCGACACGUGUUUGCUUGUGAUUUGACGACCAGCCCUCACCUUUGGUCCCCAAUGCUUCUCUGGAUUCGGCAGAAACCUCGCUACUUUCUUCACCUGUGCUUUGCUUAGUGAACCAACGUGGCGCGAAAAGUCAGCCUGCCCAAAAGAAAAACAUUGUUUUAAGAUUAUAAUUUAAUCGAGCAUUAUAACAAUGGCAAAACGAAAGAAGAACCUGAUGAGACGGUUCUUUAGACAGAAUCACACUCCCAGGAUGGUCAGGUGACUGCGCCUUCACAGGAUGAUUCUUCACCUAUAAAACCAAAACAGUUUUAAUCAGUAUCACUGGCCAAGAACACAGUUAAAAAGCUUAGUUUUACCCAGCAACGCAUGAUGUCCCAGAUAAUCUCCAUAGGAGCAUCAGUUUUAAUCCCGAGAGGGUUCACAUGUGACCCGGAGACACGGUACUUCGCAUUGAUCACCGCUGAUCUAAACAUAGCAGCUGAAGGCGAAGUACAUUUCAGCGUUGCAGCGAGAUUGUGAAGGCUCAAAAAGAGCGGAACAUCUGGCAGUUCCUCUGAGAUUGUGGUAAGCAUAGAGCAUAUUUUGUCGUAAGCAGGAUAUCUAUCUUUCAUGGACUUAACACCGUUCAGUAUCGAAGUCACCCAUUCUUGAUCAUGCAUUGGAGCAGACCAUAUCGGCCCACCCAUGUUGUAUUUCUUCCCACAGUGAGUGCAGUCCUGAGGAACAACGGGACCAAGUCCUGCUUGAUACCUCACACUGUUAUGCUGCAACAAAAAGAGGAUUAUAAAUAAAGUCGAGUUUCAGAAACUAAGUACGCAAAAGAGACAGACAUGAAACCUUAGGGAGAGAUCUUCCAACGGAUUGAAGAUGAAAGGAGUCACAACCAAUGCAUUGAUAGACGUAAGAGAGCUUUAGUGGAGUGUUCUUCAUUGCACUCGCCGAACUGCAUUUUAUAAAAGGUUAAAAUCUUUUGCUUGUUUCUAGCUGAGGGAAGUGUUUGUUGAGAAGAGAGACUUACGUGUAGAUACGGACGAAAACACGGGCGUAGAAAUCAAUUUGGACUGAUAGCACAGGAACGAUAUACCGCUUGUAGCGGUUAGCAUGGCUCUGCCAAUCAAACAAUAUACUAAAGUCAAUAGAUCGAAAAUAAGGAGCUUUUAGAGAAGAAAUAGUAAAACAAUUACCUCAAUGCUAGCGAGGAGGAUCCGCAAGGCCAUCUCGUGACAAUAUUUGCCUUUCAGUGGAUAGGAACCAUAUCUAAUAAUGGACAUGUUUAAGAAAUUAAAGACAAAAUCAUAUAGUAUUUGUCUUGAGAAUAAGGUAAUAUAUACUUACUUGGAAUAGCAAACCUCACCAUUAGCACCACACAACACUGCCAUGUCAGUUGCUGUACACAUGAGCAACCCACCAUCGGCAACUGAUUGAACAGCUGAAUCAAGGAAGAUAGACGGCGCACCAUAUGGAUCAAGAUCAACCUAAGACAUCAAUUAACCAAAAAAUUAACACAAUAAGACAGUCAAUUAGAUGAAGAAACUUUCAGUUUUUCUUUUUACUAAAUGAGCAAAAGAAAAUUGGAGGCAUACCACAUCAAAUUCUUUUGGGUUGGUGAGCAUAUGGACACGAGCAUCAGUGAGAUGUGACUCGACCUUUGAAGUAGACAUCAAGCCAUUGAACUUUAUGUUUCUCUGGCAAGCUUCAACCGAUGCUUUUAUAGAAAAAAAAAAGGAUAAUACUUUAUUAUUCUGAGAAAUUAAAAUAAAAGUUUUAAAACGUCUUCACAAGCACAGAUGUUGGGAGAAAACAAGUACCUGGGUCAUUAUCUAAAGCCACAACUUGACCAAUUCCUUCAACUUCACGAGCGUAUCUCAAAGCCCGCAACCCGGAAGCUGACAGAGCCUACAAUGUUAAGACCGUUAUCUAACAGGAAAGCACAACUAAACAAAGUACAGUUAUUACAAUCAUAAAGGAAAGAAAAGAGGUAGUACACCUCAAGGACUCUUGGCGGCUUGAGUUCCCUUCGGGCCGGUUCAUACGUGGUCUUGGCAGCUUCCUUCGAUCCAUCCUUAGAUGAUGCCUCAUGUUCUUCUCCGUUAGUUUUACCAUUAUCCUCACCGUUUUCAGUAGGAGCUCCUUCCUUGGAAACUUCAGAGACAUCCUUUUCAACCACUUUACCAGAAGAUCUAGCUCUUUUGGAUAACAUCGCAUCAUGCUCUUGCUUGCGUUUGGAUAUAAACGCCCUCAGGACAGCAAUGGACAUGUCCCUAUUAUUCACCUAACCAUAACACCACGAUCAAUAAGUCCACCUCACAAAAAAAAAAUAUUCCUUUUAGUUUCUCCCAAACACAACGAUGAAACUAACACAUAACAUGCUAACUACUUAGUAACAAUUAGAAGCAAAAGCACUAAACUUGCAAUCUCAAACGAAAGAAAAGCCCCAAAAGCUAAUAACUUGAUCAAUCCUGAGAUUGCCCUUGAUUCAAUCCAAUCAAUUAUCAUUGCAGAAAAUUAAAACCAAUUAGAAACAGAGGAAGAAGGCAAAGAACAUGAAACCUGAGCUUUGUUGAAGAAGACUUUGUUCUUCUUGUGCAUUAGAACCUCAGCUUCUCCUUCCUUGAUAACUGUAUAAUCAUUUAGAUCUGUUGUCUCCAUUGCUGAUCUCAGACUCUUCUCUUUAGGGACAGAGGAUUCAGGAACUGAAUUAGCAACGCGAAUCUGUAAUAACCCGAACGGCGAAUCAAAAAUGUUGAAGAGAUGUCGACAACACUUGCCGGCUUGUCUGAAUGAGGAUAGACGAAACGCUAUCGCUUCUUCUUUCGGUUGCAGUUUCAGAGAGAGAGUGAGAGAGUGACGGAGUAAACAACCAAAGUUUUUAAACCCUACAAGGCCAUAGGAGAUUUUGCGAUUUUCCUUUAAUUUUUUUUGUUGGGAUGAAAUUGAUUAUAUCGAAACGUACGGGGUGCAAAUAAAAAUAGUUAGAAAAUAAAGGAAUCAAUACAAAAAAGGAAAAUAUAAUGGCCUAAACAGGGAACGAACCUGUGACCUUCGCGUUAUUAGCACGACGCUCUAACCAACUGAGCUAAUAGGCCANNNNNNNNNNNNNNNNNNNNNNNNNNNNNNNNNNNNNNNNNCCGCUCUAACCAACUGAGCUAAUAGGCCACUUGUGUUGACAAAAAUAAAACAAUAAAAUUUAAAGGAGAGGACAAAUAACAUAAAGAUAAUAAAAGAAGUGGCCUAUACAGGGAUCGAACCUGUGACCUUCGCGUUAUUAGCACGACGCUAUAACCAACUGAGCUAAUAGGCCAAAUUAGCACGCCGCUCUAACCAACUGAGCUAAUAGGCCACUUGUAGUAAACGGUGUUGACAAACAAAACUAAAGGAACAAAAUUUAAAAAGAGGACAAAUAACAUAAAGAUAAAAAUAAAGUGGCCUAUACAGGGAUCGAACCUGUGACCUUCGCGUUAUUAGCACGACGCUCUAACCAACUGAGCUAAUAGGCCAUUUGUUCAAUACCCAGACGCUCUAACCAACUGAGCUAAUAGGCCAGCUUGCUAAAUUCUAUGCUACAAACUAUUUAUAAGAGCUUUUCGACUUCAGGAUAUCAUUAUCAAGGUACGGAUGAGAGAAGAGAAGAGGUGAGGAAAGGGAAGAAGAAGAGAGAGAGAGAGAGAAUGCAGAGCUUAACAUCAAACGAAGUUGCGGGCUUCGCAGUAGGGGCUCUGCUUCUCGGCGCCACCAUCGCUGCUCCAAAAGUUGAUGCUUUCAUUGCCGCUGCUCAGAGAAGGUAACAAGUAUCAUUAUCUCAUUUCCUCAAUCAAUUCAUGUUCUGUGUGAUUAGCCAUGUCAUAAAGUAUCAGACUUUGGAUGUGAAUUGUUUUGCUUGUUAUGUCUUAUUGACGUAUGAGAUGAUGUAGACGAAUCGAUGAUGCUUGUAGUAACUGCGUAUAGUGGGGUUUUGAUUGUUUUUUUAUUUUAUUUUCUCAGUUUGCUGAACAUGUGAAAAUGGUAAAACUUUAGGAGUUUCUUUGUGAUAAAUUGUUUGAUAUCUACCAAAAGGAUAGAUUCCGACAUCAAAAAGCCUCUGUUGGGUUAUGUCUUUUGUCUUUCACUUUCUUCCAAGUUCUCUCCACUGUUAAAAAGUAAUAAUUUUCUUGAAAUUCUGCAGUCCUCACUGAAAAAGUUUUGAAAUCUUCAGGUAUUGAAUGAUAGCUUCAUGUUCAAAGGAUUAAACUGUUAUGAUUAUGAGUUUAUGAUUAUAGAUUCUGAAAAGAAAAGAAAAAUAAACUGACUUUUGUAAUGGAGAGAGACUGUGUAGGCAUUGGUGGUCUUAUAACUGAAUUCUCCAAGAAAUGUGAUAUAGGCUGCAACUGUCCUAUAGCUGAAUGAAACUAGACUUGUUCUUGAAUCUAUUAUCCAUACAAUCCUAUGUUUCUGAAAAGAAAAAAACAACUUUUGCAGGUCUCUUGGGAUGUGCACGAAGUGUGGAGAUGUAAAGAAUGUAGCCUGUGGUCGCUGCAAAGGGACAGGGACGAUCAAGUCAGGAGGUAUCUUUGGAUUCGGUGAGCCAGACCCAUCAUCAAACGCCAGAUCAGCCACUUGCGAUAAUUGCAAAGGCAGAGGUUGUUUCCCUUGCCCUGAGUGCUCAAAGUCUUGACACCUUUUUUGGUUAUUCAAUAGAUUGCCUCAAGACUUCAAAAAAAAAAACUACUUGUUUCUUUUUCGUGACCUUGUGAUAUAUAUGUAAUCAGUCCACUGGUAAUGUUGAUGUUGAAACAUGUCUUUAGUCUAAAUUCGUUUGAAAAGUAUGUUAUUCCAGUUUCUUUAUCAGAUUGGCAGUUUGAUCAGCUGAACCGGAUGUUGGUGUAUUAUUGAUUUUGUUACUCUUAACCGGGUCUUGUAGUCCCUAAACCGGAUAAAUCCAUUAAUCAUGAGCUCCUCUUCUCCUAUCCUUCUGUAAGCAACAGUAGCUAGGUGCAUAUUAGGAUUAGUGACUUCUUUUUCUUUAACCAAAAAAAAAACUCAAACCAACAUUUGAAGACGAAGAAAGAUGAUUGGUUGAAAACUACUAAUAAAUUGAAAUUUUUACACUUAGACGUACUUUUUCCUUCUUCCAUGACAUAUUUCUCUCAUGUCCGGUACUUUAUUAGAUUCAAAUGAUUCAACUAACCCAAAAAUACAAACUAGUUUAGUUACUUUUUUAACUCAUAUUUCCUUUUAUUUUAUUUCUUUUACUUAUCUCCACCAUAACCCACUGGUUCAUCUCUCUCCUCUUCAGAACCCUAAUGUGCUUCCACCGCAACUCAAGAAUUAAAUCUUCUCCAUCGUCUAGUUAAUCUCAGAUCUGUGAUUUCUUCCUUUUCUCGUUGCGGGACAUGUAACGUCGAAGCAUCUUUCCUCCGUCUAGAUGAAGCCACAAAUCGCGCGCCCUUAAUUUGCUUCAAUCUUCAAGAACCACCGCCGUUAAGAUAUCAUCUUAAGGCUACACUCCCCACCUUCCCGCCGUAACACAAGUCCUUCAUGACGUUUUGCUCCAACUCACUCAAUGUAAUGCCAUCACGGAACGAGACCAUGCGAGACAUCUGUGUUUUGUCUACCACAAAAUUCCAGUUUCUUUCGUCUCGACAGAUCCAUUCACCUGCCAUGGCCAUACAAUGCUCGUCCAUCUCUUGACCACAAGUAAUUAACCAUACAAUGCUUGUCCAUCUCUUGACCACAAGAAACUUGCGAGACAUCUGCGUUUGCGUUUUGUCUACGAUAAAAUCCCAGUUUCCUUCGUCUCGACAGACUCAUUCACCUGCCAUGACCAUACAAUGCUCGUCCAUCUCUUGACCACAAGUAAUCAACCAUAAAAUGAUUGUCCAUUUCUUGACCACACGAAACUAACGACUCGUUACUCCCUCACUUUAACAUUAACUAGAAAGAAAAUCUUUAUCUGGGAGAAAGGACAUUUUAGGGAGAGAAAAAACAAAAACAAAUCCAAUAGUACACCUCAAGUAUAAAGUGCUUAAAAAUGUAAAGGACCAACACAAAGUAUCCUUCUACGCAACUCUCUCUGAUAAAUUUGAUCAAACGUGUGAAAGAAAGCAAUUAUUUCUAAUAACUUAAAAAAACUAACCCAUUUCUCUCUCUUCUUUCUCCCGUCCAUCUCUAAAAGUAAAAAGCUAACCCCUUUUCGUCUUGCUCCGGCGUCGGAGGCAUCGGUGUUGCCGGUGUACGUUAGCUCCGGCGUCGGAUGCGUCUCCUCCUCAUCCUCUCCUUUUUUCUUUGCUUUAGUCACUUGUCUCUUCUCUUCUCUGAUAUGUGAAAUCUCUGGUAUGGCUUUGAAGUUGGAACCCUAGAUCCUCCCGGGGGUGAUAGAUCCAGUGGUUAUAGCUUGAUCUGGAGAUGAAUUGAGGCGGUGAGGGUUGCAAGUCGAUUGGAGUCGGCUUUUGAAGGUGGAGACACGACAUAUCUGUUUUUCCUUUUCUAGAUUUGGGUGUUGUCUCCGGCAGUGGUGGCGCGUGAGUGACGAUACAGGCUCUCUCCUCCGGUCUUCGUCUUGUUUCUCUUUUCCGAAGGUUUCCUUCGUUGUGGAGAGGAGUCUAUCGGCGUUCAUGUAUGUCGAAGCUUGGUGUCUUGUUUCGGUUUAUGGACUUGCUGGUGCUCAAGGGAGAUGGUGGUCGCGCACUAUCGGCGCGUUCUCAGUGGUGUGUGGUGGUUGUGAGUCAUCUCACCCCUGUGAUUUCGUGUGCAUCUUAAGGUCUAGAGUUUUGUGUUGUCGUCUAUGGCAGAGGAAAUUCAUUCCGGCGGUUGCUCUCCUUUUGCUCGUGCUCCUCAUGGUUUAGACUUCACAAUGGUCCUUCCUUUUCGCGCAAGGCGUGGAUGCUUCUUUUUCCUGAUUCGUUACUUCGUCUCGUUCUCCAGCGGGGGUUGAAGUCUGAAUCGCAAAGGUUGAGUGGAUAAGGUUCUCUUGUCCUUCUCAAGUUGUCGUGAAGCUUCUCUGGUUGAGUUAGACUGGUUUGUUUUGUGGCUUGGAGGCUUGUGUAGAGAAUGAUCAUCCCACUGUCAGGGAUUCCUCUUGGAUGGUCUGGCAGAUUGUUCUCUGUCUUCUUUUGCAGGUUUAGAAGUCAUCGUGUUCCUAAAUUUCCACCAUUGCGACAUAUCUUUGUUCGGUGGGUGGGUGUGUUUGUGGCUUUGGCUAUGGCAGGAUCCAUUCACCUUCCCGUUGGUUUUGCGAGGUUAGGUGGCUGCGUUGGUAUGCUUUCUCAUCUCUCAUUCCACUCGGGCUAGUGCUUAAUGUCAGUGUUGAAAGCAAGCUUGAAGCGAUCAUCAGAGACUAGCUACUCUGUCGAUGACACAAGAAGACCGGCAUCCGAGGCAACAAGGUAAACCUCACCCUUUAUGUGGUUAUCAUCGGUGGCAGAGAACGACUAAUGAUUUCUGAAGACAGCAGAGCGCUCUAGCGGAACGUGUCGGUAUGGUGGGCGAACGAAGCUAGUGUCGUAAUGUUAGAUUUAGAAAAUUUUGUUCAAAUCAAGCUUGUAAUCGACACUUGAAUUCCCGUUCUUUCGGGCUAAUUUAUAAAAUGUAAAUUAAAAAAAAAAAAGCAAUUAUUUCUAGUCAAUUUUAAGAAUUAAUAGUUUAAUACUAACGUAUUUCUAAAUUAAAUUAUGUAAGGGUAAAGAAUAUAAAUAACGAAGACAAGUAUAGAUACCCAGGACCUCGUAGUCUAGUGGUACUACCUCCUUGGGGAGGGGAGGUCGGCUGUUCGACUCGCGUGGAGGGGGAGGCGUGUCCAGGGCCCGUGAAAAGGUACAGACAAAGGCUGGUGCCGGGCGUAUGUGGUGGGCCGCAAGGCUAACACCUGGUUAAAAAAAAAAAAAAAAAAAAGACAAGUAUAGAUAAGUCACUGUUAAAAAGGAGGAUUUGCCUCAGCGAUCGCGCUUCCGAUAAAAGUCCAAUUCAAUCAUAAUACGACACGUGUCCGUCAGACCACAUCACCCAUCUUGUUACUGUUAAGAUCUCUUUCCUACUGUCUUUUUACUUUUACCCUCUGUAAAUCCGUACGGACUUCCCAUGUCACCUGAAGGUUUCUCUACAACAGUAAAAAAUGGAGUUCUUUAAACAUUUCAAUGGCGUGAUUUAAUAUCCUUAUUGAAUAAAACUUCAUGAAUCCAUAUAUAUUUCAAGCAAUUAGCAAUUGCAAUCCAGACAUACAUAUUCCACUCUUUGGAAUAAUAACCUUUAACAAAAGACGCGUACACUUCAUUUAAUUGACGUUUUGGAACUUUGACAGGGACUAUAUAUAUAAUUAAGGAGAAAAUAUAAUAUAGAAAAGCCAUAUGUAUAUUAUGUCCUCUUGUUAAAAUUUAGCUUCGUCACCGCAAAACCAUAUAUGUAUAUUAUAUUCUGUCCUCUUGUUAGAAUUUAGCUCCAUUACCGACAUAUUAUCACAGAGUUUCUAGUGUUGUAUUAGAACUUUAGAAGAUGCAUGCAUUGAUAUAAUGUUCAUAUAUACAUGAAAAUUAACCUCAAUUUUUUUUUGAAAAUACUUAAAGACCAAGACUUUCAUGCUAUGUAGUUAAAGAUGAAUGACAAUCCGCACUUGAUAUAUAAUUUUACAAAAGCGUCAUGAUAAAUGUGCACUAGCUAGCAUAAGCUAUGGUAAAAAUCGUGCUAAUUAAGAAGUAAAAUAAGCAAAUAUUACUUGCAUAUCCAUGCAAUUUCACACAGGAAUCUUGAAUAUGCACUGCAUGUCAUAGUAUGACUUCUGAAGUGUACUGCGACGGCUUGAGCUUGCCUACAAUACGAUUAUUUGCUAGUUUACUUUCCAAAGCUCGCAUUUUUCUAUCUAUCUUGUUCUUGGCCUAAACGAGUCUAAUAACUAAAACUCUUCCAAACAACUUUUUAUUCCCAAGUUUUUACCCGGUCGUAGGCUCGCUCGCAACUUCAUAAUCAUAACUUGAAAACAAAAGUAAAGCAUAAGUGCGCAAGUUGUAGUAGAUAUGAAUAUGAUGCGCGUGAUAUUGUGAAUAUACCUUUAAUUUUUUUGUUUUCCAAACUAAUGCAGUAAAUGAAAGCAACGUAUCAUAUCAUUUUCUGGUUGUUUUCAGAAGCAGCAGAAAAACAUCUACUACCUUAAAAUGGGUUUUCACGUGUCGAUUUCUUAUUGGAUAUGACUAUUCUUCAUUUAUAAAUUAAGUUUAAACCAUCAAGUAACAACAAAUGACAGUAAAUUUGUAAACAUAUUUUCCUAGCUAGUAUCUCUUUAUACAUACGUAUUUAGUCACCACGUAAGAGUGUAACUUCAAUUUAUAUACACACAUAUAUUAUACAUGCAUCGACCACGAGUAUGUAUAAACUAUACCAAUUUUCUUAACAUAUAUUAAAAACUUGACUCAUAGAUGUGAUAAUCGACCUUUAGGCCGCAUGUGUUUAGUUACGAGUCAAACAUCAUAAGUGAUACGUUUUCUAAAAAGGUUGUUUCAUCACAUUUAACAAAACAUAAACUAUUUGUUAUUAUGAUAUAAACAUAGAGUUCUUAAGAAAACAUAUGUUUAGAUAUUUUUGUAUAAUGUCAGGCAUAUACACCUAAAAUAGUAGACAGCAUACAUAUAUGCAUAUAGACAUGAAUUCUACCUGAAGAGAAGCACACAUAGAUUUUUUUCUAAAUUAAAUAAACUUACAACUCCAAAAUAUUCCCUACAAGUUAAAAAUUACCAAUUAAUAUGGUAAUAAAUUGAUAGGGAUGGUAAAAACUAAAAACUGAACAAAGUAAACCACGCGCCUACAGAGAGCGAGUGGGAUAUAGCAAGAGAGAUGGCUUGAAAUGAAAACACACCAAACCCUAACCUCAGCUUCACAAGUUUCUUAUCUUCUACUCCCACUAGAUUCUAUUCUACAAAAGAAACUUCAAUUAGGCUCACAACCACCUCCACACACUUCCAAGAACAAAGAACCCUGAACUCAAAAGUUUCUUUCUUCUUCUUCUACCUUACAGUUUCUUGUUCUUGAAAAUUAGGGUUAGUUUUCUUUUUUUCCCUUAAAUCUAUUCUCUAGACCUUAAAGAUCAGAUCUUUACUCAGAAAAAGAGAUACCCGACUCAUGUUUUUGUGUGUCUGAACAUAGAUAAGACAUCACAUAUCGAUAUAUAUAUUUGUGUGUGUAAAAGAGGAAACAAAAAAAAAUGGGAAGGGGCAGAGUAGAGCUGAAGAGAAUAGAGAACAAAAUCAACAGGCAGGUAACGUUUGCAAAACGUAGGAACGGUCUGUUGAAGAAAGCUUACGAGUUGUCUAUUCUUUGCGAUGCUGAGGUGGCUCUCAUCAUCUUCUCCAACCGUGGCAAGCUCUAUGAGUUUUGCAGCUCCUCAAAGUAAUAUAAAUCUCUCUCUCUCUCUCUUCAACUUUUUUUAUUUUCGGUUUUUGAUAGAUCUGAGCAUAGAUCUUUGUCUGAUCGAACUUGUUUGUUUGGAUAGAGAUCACACGAUCUUGAUGUCUAUGAAAGUGUUGAGCUUUAUUAGAUUUCUUGAUUCGUAUUAUUAUGACAUCUUGAAAUUUAAGAUCUGAUCUCUUUUUUUUUGUUAUAUUAAAUACAAAUAUUAAUUAGCUCAUGAGAAGAGUUUGCAAUCAAUUUAUGUUUUAUAUAAAUAUACAUAUAUAUAUAUAUGUGUGUGUGUGAUUAGAAACUUAAAAGUUGGAAACACAGAUUUCUAUGGAAAUAAGGAUCCAACGUAGAAUGAUAAUAUAUGGUUCCAUGCAUUAACUGGCUGUCAUUAGUUCAUACUUUAUGGUGGUUAAAACUUAAAACGUGUGUGUAUCUAUGAAAGUUCUUUUCUUAAAAAAAUUGUUUUCUUUCGUUUUGUGUGUAUAUGUUUUAUAUGUUAAAAUGGUCUAAUUACAUUAAGGGAUAACAAAUAUAUAAUUGUCGAAAUUAUUAUUUCCAUGUGUGGAUCGCAGAACUCAAAAGAAGAAAAAAAAUCCAUGUUAAUUAGUACAUAUGAGAAUAAUCUUUAAAUUUGAUAGGAAAAAUCUUGAUUAAAAAGUUAAGAGCUCAAAGUAUGUGGAUAUUAUAGAGACAAGCUAGCUAACGUGUCUGAUUAUUGAUGAUGAGUUGGGUUUGUGUCAUAUUCUGUCAAGUAUAUGAUCUUCUUCUUGGUUUAUAUAUUUUUAUUGAUUAAAAAUCCAUAUAGUAUUUAUAAAUCCAAAUAAAAUAUGCAAAUCCGGAGGUUUUUCUUAUGAUUUGAAUCUUUGUAUUUUUAACUAAAAAAUCCAAACAAAUCCAUUAUAAAAUCAAAUAUAUUAGUAAAUCCGUACGAUUGAAUAACACUUGAUUUGAUACAAAAUUUAUGUAUCAUUAAACCAAUAACACAUGAUUUUAAUACAGAUUUAAAAAUCAUAGAACCAAUAACACUAGAUUUAAUUCGGAUUUUCAAAUCCAUUAAAAUACAACAACCAAUAACCACUAUUUGAUUACAAAAUUCUUAUCCUCUUAAUUAACUUGUGUGGUUUUCGUUUCAGCAUGAUCAAGACACUGGAACGGUACCAGAAAUGCAGUUAUGGUUCUAUUGAAGUCAACAACAAACCUGCCAAAGAACUUGAGGUGUGCUCUUUAUAUUUAUUUAGGUGUUUAUAUCAUAUCAUUUCAACAAAGAUCCUUAUGUUUUUCCUUGGGAGUUUCAGAAUAGCUACAGAGAGUAUCUGAAGCUUAAGGGAAGGUAUGAGAGCCUUCAGCGCCAACAAAGGUAGAGAUCUCUCUCUCUCUAUCUAUCUUUAUAUACACACAUGUCAUUCAUAUUAGUGUAUUUGUGUUGGUGCAAGGAAUCUUCUUGGGGAGGAUUUAGGACCUCUCAACUCAAAGGAACUAGAGCAGCUUGAGCGUCAACUAGAUGGAUCUCUCAAGCAAGUUCGCUCCAUCAAGGUCAUAUCCAUAAAGCUAUUUAUAGACAUUGAAUGAUUCAAAUGAGAUUUGUGUAGUGAAAUUAAUGUUUUUUUUUUGUUUCAUUAUGACUACUAUUGCAGACACAGUACAUGCUUGACCAGCUCUCUGAUCUUCAAAGCAAAGAGCAAAUGUUGCUUGAAACCAAUAGAGCUUUGGCAAUAAAGGUAAAUGCAUUUUGAUGAAUUAGAUCCUGUUACUGGUAUCAAUAUAUUUCACAGCCUUUGAAGUUAUUAACAUUUUGGUGUAAAAAAUGUAAUUAGCUGGAUGAUAUGAUUGGUGUGAGAAGUCAUCAUAUGGGAGGGGGAGGAGGAGGAGGAUGGGAAGGCAAUGAACAGAAUGUUUCGUACGAGCAUCAUCACCAAGCUCAGCCGCAAGGACUAUUCCAGCCUCUUGAAUGCAAUCCUACUCUGCAGAUAGGGUAAAUGCAUGCUUGUCUACUUCGCUUGUCUUUGUUUGAGAUUCUUUAGUUUUUUGGUAUUAAGAGGACCAUAUAAUUUACGUUGGUGGUAUGAUGAUGAUGAUAACAGGUAUGACAAUCCAGUAGGCUCGGAGCAGAUAACUGCAACAACACAAGCUCAGGCGCAGCCAGGAAACGGUUACAUCCCAGGCUGGAUGCUCUGAGUGUCACAUUCUGAGAGUCAAUGUGAUCAACCUCACCAAACAAAAGAUCUGUUUUAAAUAAUAAUAGUAGUAUAGAACACAAGACUUGAAUUUAUAUAUAUAUAUAAGUGGCUAUGUAUAAUGUCCUAAGGAUCUGCAGGACCUAAGUGUCUUUUGGGAAACCUUGCUACAUUUAAGGAUUGAAAAUGUGUGGAACUUGUUUUACCAUUAGACUUGGUUAAUUAUUUAAGUACUGCACCAAUCUAAUGACAAACAUUGUGGAGUACCAAAUUAUAAACCAUCACAUAUUAAUAAAAGGGUUCAUACAAGAUGAUGUAACAAGUUUAAUGCUUCCUUGGACAGAACAUCAGAUUCCUGAGUCUUUUCUUUUGUUGUUGUUGUUGUGAGUGUUUCCUCAGAACUCAAUAAUCUAACUCUGCUGAGCUUACAUGUCUUCAUUUUUCCGUCAAUAUAUAUAUAUACACACAAAAUGUUGUUAAGAAACAGUAAUUUACAGAUAAAAGCAAUUUUGCACAUCUCUAUGUUGCCUUGUUGAUCUCCCCCUUUUUCAGUUUAGACAGGAUCAGUGAUGAUCAGUCAGGGUGUUUCGUUGAACUCCAUCACCUGACAAUGAGACAAAUGCAAUGUUCUGAGUAAACAAUGCAAAUGUUCUCUAAGUUUCAUGAACAAUGAUUAUAUCUCUAUUACCUUCCCACAAACAGGGCAGUCCUCGCUUCUCUCCAUCCACUCAUAAAUGCAACCAAGGUGGAAAUGGUGAGAACACUUUGUAACAAUCUUCGGGUUCUCUGAUGUGUACUCUGCACAAAAAAAAAGAUCUGAUACUUAGCUUCUCUUCAACUGCAUUUACUGAAGAAGAAGAAGAAGAAAAUGAAUACCUUCAAGACACGUUGGACAAACAUCUUCAUCAUCAGACAUCACAUAAACGCCAUCAUUACCACCAGCAUCCAUAGUCUUUGACUUGAGAAUCCUCCGAGUGGAUUUAGAGAAGUCAUCUUUAGAAUCUUCACCAGAGACCAUAAGCUUAUUACUAGCCCAUUUGCUUCCUUCUACAGAGAAAGACUCAGAGUCCACAUCAGCAGCAUCAUGACUUCUCAAGGGCUCAGCCUCGUCACGCGAAUGACUUGUGCCCUUAUCGCGCCGUGAGACAAGCCGUGAACGGAAGAAGCCUGGAUCAGCAUCGUAAGGCAGAGGCCUUGGAGUAGAGUGGAAGGUGUUAGACAUAAAGUUAUCAUAGGAAGAAGAGGAAGUUAUGGAUACAGUGGUGGUGGUAGUAGCUUGUAAGGAGGAUGGGAGAGAGCGGGUUGUUUCGUUUCUUCUGAACAAAGUGAUAUACUGCCAGGAGAAAGAGAUCAAAAUAUUCAGAGGUCAACUUUAAAAACUAGUAGUUGUGAAAAAAAGAGAAACAUUACCAGGUUAAGUAAGCUGUUAACAAGACAUCUCGGGCACGGGCUGUUUCUAUUAAUAGAACUACUUGGGUUCGUGUAAUCCUCAUAGUCUUCGACACGGAAGCAAGAAGAAACACAUCCCAUUUUUUUUCUCUCUUCUUUCUUGAAAUGUUGGUUCCAAUAUGUUUCUUCAACUCAAGAACUUGGAGGCAAAUUGCUUUGAAACUCACCCACAACACUGAGUUUUACUAAAAUCAUAAAGUUUGAAACUUUUAGUAAAGCUCCUUAAACUUAAGCAAAUUGCUUUGAAAUUAACAACACGGAGGCUUGUACACGUCUCCAACGGUUUCUGCUUCGUUCACAAAAAAAGGAUGUAUCCGUUGAUAAAUUAGCAAAAACUGGGGAGUGAUUCAACAAAAUUGACAAUAGAGAUAUUCCCUGCAAGAGACAUAAAACAUUCACCUAACUCAGCAGCAACAUAAAGGUUGUUCCUUUGGACAAAGAAAAAAAUAGAAAAGUCGAGGCUUUGCAUUAAGCAAAUUAAACAGUCGAAAGUUGAAAUCUCUAAUUUAGGUAAAUCCCUAACAAACUCAAUAAAACAGAGAAACAUAUAUUAUAAAAAAUAACCCACUUAAAGUUAAACAAAAUCGUUGACUGAUCAGGAUCGAUCAGAGCUCAUUAUCCUCAGAAGAACAUAUAUAUUUUUUUUUUUUAAACAGAGGAAUGGGAACGAAGACUAUACCUUUAACGAAGAACUAAAUUGGGUUUUCGAAUCCGAUCGGCCUAGACGGAAAAAAAAAGAGAGAAAGAGAUGGAGACAAAGAACCGACCAGAGGAGAGGACCCAGGACCGCCGGUGAAAUUCCAAUUUUGAAACAAAACCAAAAAAAAAAAAAAUAAAGUUAGAAGCACAAUAAUAAGCUUUAUUAGAGGAAUUUCCUCAGUUUUUAUAUUUUAAAAAAAGGAAACAAUUCGUCAGCGAGAAGAAGGAUUGAAGAAAAAGUGAGAAGGGGAGUGUGAUGAAGUUGGUGGGAAGGUGGGUGGGCCUUCUUGCUGGCUGCCAUUAGAGUGUGAAGUCUUUAGUUAUUAAAACAAUAAUUACAAUAUGGUUUUUCUUUUCAGAGCAAAGUUAAUUGAAAAAUGCCAAAAAAGACUUCUAAAUAAGUUGCAAUUAUUUUUGGUUGUAAGUGCAUAAUUGUAGAUUUUUUUGCAUUUUUCCAAAUACUUGCAUGUAUAUGUUCUAUAAACACUUGGGUGUGACGCUAUGAUAUAAUAGUGUUAAUUAUAUAUUCUAUAAACAGCUGUGUAAUAGUGCUGCUACUAAGCAAAUUAUUGUUAUUCUUUCCACAUCAAGGUUGAACACACGACUUUUUUUAUCUCUACCCAUUUUAAUCUUUCUUUUGUAAUUUAAUACAUUAGCUUUCACUGGUGAUUUAGAAAAUAGUGGUGUAGUACAUUUCUUUUAGAAAUGUAUACAACAAGAUUCGAAGGCAGAGAAAUCAUCACGGGCUAUGUUCAACAAAUAGUUGGGCUUUUUAGUCAAUCAGCCCACAUCAAAGAAUGGGUAAGACAUCAAACAUUCAACUAUGUUUUUGUUGAAUUCAAUCUUUAAGAAUUUACUGCAUCCGUUUCGUAUUAAUUGUCGUUUUAGAGAAUUUUUUUCGUUACAAAAUAAGUGUCGUUUUCGAUUUUCAAUGCAAAAUUUAUUUUUCUAUUGGUUGAAAUAUGGUUAGGUGUAUAGGUAAUAGUGUUUUUUUUAUAGGAAAUGUACAAAAUUAAUUGUUUUCUUAAUCUAUGUGCCGAAACCUAAAACGACACUUAUAAUAAAACAGAGGGAGUAAAUUACAAAUUUUCUGAACUAUUUUUACUUUAACAUGUGAAUUGAUUAAAGGAUCCCUUAUUGUGAAUUUUUGUCAACCUUUUCAUAGAUUUUACACAAUCCUGUGGUCGAUCUAUAAUCCGUUUCAGUGCCUUUGUUUAUUCUCGUGAAUGUCUGAUGAUUUAGCAUAUACGGCGUCCUGUGGAAAACAAUCUGAUGUAAAAAUAAAAAAAAGGUAAAAAUAAAAUUCCAGAAGAACAUUCACAUUCUUUGAUAUUUUUUUAAAAAAAUUUCUCUUUAUCAAGAAUGAUUAUUUAUAUACACACAAGAAGACAGUAGUAAGAAUUGGGUAUACUAUAUGGUUUGUGUGGACAUCCUUUGUGUCUCGUGAAUCGACAGAGACUCUCCAACUGUAUUCACUUCCCCAUUCUCAUUCCCAUAAUGCUUCACUUUCAUAAAUUCCAGUUCUUGUUUCCGUUGUUAAAGAAAAGAAAAAACUACAGUUACUCAAGUCUAGUUAUCACACUAGUCUCAUUGGUUACAUCUAUAUUUCACGAAAUCUAAAAAAACAUGUAUAAAUCAAAUCAUAUGCGAAAAAUCCUACUCUUCUAAGAAUGCUUUUGUUAAUAUGUAUUUGUAGGUACGUGUAACUUUAACAAAACUACAAGCAUAUUGCAUCUACUUUGUAAUUUUGGAAUAUUGCUUCGAUAUAUUCAAAUCUGCUUGUUAGACUGUCACUGAUAUGGUAAGAUUGUACUCUUCCACUUUUAACCAAGUUUUAGUGGUAUAGGAGCUCCAGCUGGAGUGACCGCCCCUGGGUUCGAGCCUUAGCCACUGCGGAAUUUACAUGUGGGCUACAGCACCCGAGACCGAAGACCGUUACACGGUGAGCCACAUGGUGACGCCCUGGCAGCGUCCAUGCUCACUUCGGUCUCUAGUCUGAACCACUUCGGUGGGUUCAGGAUACUCGGUUUUUAAAAAAAAAAAAAAAAAAAAAAAAAAAAAGAUUCUUGUUUUCUUGAUAGCAUUAUGAAACAAAAUAUAAACAGAUCAUAACAUGUAUCUUGGUAGUUUGCAUUAGAGUUAUUCUUGUGUAAUCAUCUAGAUCCAAGCUUGCUAAAAUGCAUAAUGCUUGCUAUUAAUAAAAAGGAAUUAAACUAAGAAUAUUUUCUUCGUACUACCAUGAUCUGUAUUUAUAUCUUUAGGAAAAUUAUAUUUCAUUAAAGAUAAUAACGUGGGGAAGAUAUUACCAUGCAAGGAUCAAUCUAAUCGACACGCGAACGUGAAUCCAAAUAUUGUUUGUUGUCUUUUUCUCACCUCUUACUAUUUUCUUACAAUAAUUUAAGCUUUUAGAGCUGUGGAAAGAUAAGAAAUAUUAGUCACAGGACACUAUAGUAGCUUUGUAGUUUGGAAGCUAGACUUGUAUUUUUCCCAUGAUUCACAUUAACAAAACGAAGAGAUAAGCUUUUGCUACAAUCUCAUCUUUUUUUGUGGCUCACUCAUCUUUACACAACAACUCUAUAUAAAUCCCUCACUCCUCGAUUACCCUCUGUUUCAUAAUAAAGAGAUAGAGAGAGACUUAUUCGAUAACUAUGGAGAUAACAACGACCUUCACGGUUUGGUUUACUCUUACCAUUUUCUUAGGAAUCUCUAUCAAUGGAGGUUUGUCUCAAGGACAGCAACAUCUUGUGAAGAAGACACGUUCUUCUGCGGUUGUAGUAGGAACUGUCUACUGCGACACUUGUUUCAACGGUGCCUUUUCGAAAUCACACAACCACUUGAUCCCAGGUUUGUUUUUUCAUUUCAUUUCUUGAUUGUGUUUCACCGGUUCUUGUUUAAGAUAUCGAUCGGCUAAAGUCAGUUUGUUUGAUCUUGUUGCAGGUGCUGUAGUUGCAGUGGAAUGUAUUGACGAGAACUCUAAACCGAGUUUCAGACAAGAGGUGAAAACAGACGAGCACGGCCAAUUCAAAGCAAAGCUACCCUUCACUGUGAGCAAACAUGUGAAGAAUAUCAAGAGAUGCUCUGUGAAGCUGCUAAGUAGCUCACAGCCUUAUUGUUCUAUAGCUGCUUCGGCGACUUCCGCUUCUCUCAAACGUCUUAAAUCGACCAAACACGGGGAGAACACUAGGGUUUUCUCUGCAGGGUUCUUCACUUUCAAACCGGAGAAUCAACCAGAGAUAUGCAGCCAGAAACCGAUAAAUCUCCGUGGAUCCAAGCCUCUACUACCGGAUCCAGCUUUCCCUCCACCGAUCCAAGACCCGGUUCCAAACAAUCCUUCCCCUCUCCCAAACCUCCCAAUCGUUCCUCCACUCCCUGACUUGCCUCUUCCUCAACUUCCUCCUCUUCUUCCUCCAGGACCACCACAGAAACAAGCUUCCUUGCAUAACAAGAAAGAAGGUUCCUUGGAUGACAAGAAAACGGAAGUACUAAAACCUGAUUUCUUCUUUCCUCCAAACCCGGUCACGCCUCUCCUCCCUCCCACCCCGCUUAACCCGCCUCUCCUCCCUCCCAACCCGCUAAACCCGCCAGGUCUCAUCCCUCCAAACCCUCUCAUUCCUUCUCCACCAACUCUUCCUCUCCCACCUCUACCGUUUCAACCGCCUCCUUCCGGGUUAAUCC